rnacentral:lncRNA from 1 species
AGGUAUUAGCGUACCUUUAAUAUUUGUCUUUUGAAUAAUCGUGGUCUUGUUGCGUAUGAUGUUUAUAUUUUCAAAUUUUAAUAACUAAGGAGCAGCUGAAGAAUCUAGCAGAAUGUAGUGCGGAGAAAGGAGGCGACUACUAGACAUUCGACAAAGGGAGAAAGGACCGAGAUAUUUUUGUGCCUGAGCAUACCAAGACUAUUCUAUUACUCGUCCUAUUCGGCCGGAGGGAAGAUUUUCAAAUAAAUAAGAGUUACUCAAUAAAUAAUACCAAUUUACUGCAGAGGCUCUUGAUUGGUCGACGAACAAAAUAUACCGUUGUUAUCUGUUUCCUGUUUUGUGUGUGUAUGUCUCUCCGUAUAUUGUGUAAUGUAACCUACGUUCCCUAGCUCUACUCUUUGUGGAUCAUCCCGAAUUUCAUAGUACUUUGUAAGCAAUGAAUAGCUCAGCAGUUUCCAGUGACAGCAUUAUGGCGCUACGCACCCGUAGGAAAACUAACACCACCAAAUAACUAACGAUCUAUGGCUCCCUGUAGAACCGAAAUCAUUUCACAGGAAAGAAGAUAUUUUCCUCUAUUCCAAUGGUGAUAUAAAAAUGCCAGCUCAGAAAGUUGAAGAGCACUCUUCCUAUUUGGGUUCGAGGUUAGCGCUGAUCUUCAGUGCCUUACCCUAGGGCUCGUUGAGGUCAAUCGGGACGAGAUUGGUCUCCUCAGCCGACUCGAAACUACCGAUGUGACACUUGGGGACAGGAACCUCCUUAGAGAGCCAUUCCAGGUCGGUGGCAAGGACCUUGGUCUCGACGAGCGCUAGGCAGUGCUGGUGUGAUGUGCCGACGGUGAUGAUGAUGUCGUUGGGGCCUGACAUCUUGAGCUUGAAGUAGGUAUAGUUGGGGACUGCUAUGAACUUGGUGUAGCACUGCUGCCCUAGGAUGGCGUGGUAGGUUCCUCGAAACCCGACCAUUUCGAAAGUGAUGGUAUCCCUUCUGAAGUUGUUGGGGUCCCAAAGCAGACAGGCAAGUUGAUGUACCCGAGGGGUUAGGCUCGAAACCCGUGUACGACACCAUGGAAUGGCGCCACAUGAGCUCAGAGUCGAGAAGUACUGAUCCCUAGGAGGUCUAGAGUCUUGGCAUACAGGCUGUUGAGGCUGCUGCUUCCGUCCAUCAGCACUUUGAUGAGCCGGGUGUCGGCGAUGACGGGAUCGAUGAUGAGAGGGUAGUGCCCAAGGCUCAGGAUAUGAUCUGGGUGGUCACUGCGAUCAAACGUGAUAGCCUCCUCGGACCACUUGGAGGGUUUUGCAGAGAGAAGAAGCACCAGAUGAUGGUGCACUCCUUGAGGGUGUGCUUUGCGGGGCCCUUAUGGUAAGGGCAUGGCUUCUUCAGCAUCUCAUCAAAGACCCUCGGCCCCCCUAGAGGGUCUUUAGGGAUCCUGCAUGUAGCAGCGGCGAUGAGCGUGUCCACCUGGCGCUCUUGUUUUCCCUAGUGAUCCUUCUUCUUCUUGAGGUCUUGGGAGGCUGAGGCCUCGGUGACAUCGUCCUCCCAUUCCCCUUGCAUUCGACGUUAGGGAAGAUGGCCCCAACUGCCUCUUUGCCAGAGCUCGCUUGUGCAGGAACUCGCUUUUGCUGGUGGGGUUCUUGCACCCGAGCUCAUGCACCAAUGCCAUGUAGGUGGUGCUGGCGAUGAACGCCCCCAAUGACAUAUGAAUCAGUGACAUUGGAGAGCUUGGUGCACUAUAUGGAAAAGUGCCUCAUGAAGUCAUGGAGAGACUUGUCAGGCUUCUAUCGGUAGCUCCUAAGAUCCCAAGAGUUGUUGGGGCACAUGUAUCUACCAUGAAAGUUCCCCAUGAAAGCCUUAACUUGGUCACCCUAGUUGUUGAUCUUCCGUGCGAGAAGGUGUUCUAGCUAAGCUCUGAUAGAGUUAGCCAAGAAUAGGGGGAGGCUAUGGAGGAUGAGCAGGUCAUCGUCCGCACCGCAUAGCGGAGAAGCCAAGCGGUAGUCAGCGAGCCAGAGACCCAGGUUUGUUUCCCUAGAAUACUUAGUGAUGUUGGCCGGUUGGUAGAACUAGGCUAGGAACUAGGCUCUCUGGAUGGCCUCAAUAAAGACGCAGGACCCAGAAGCUCAAGUGAGGGAAUGUGAUCCUCCUAGCCAUGGGAGUCGCUAAUGUCUCUACCACGUUGUCGCGCAUCGAGGAUAGCACAAGCAUCGAUGUUCUUACCAAGGGGUCCUGCUAAUGGAUUAUGAGGACGCUACGCUAGCUAGAAAGCAACAAAUUUGACCUCAUAAACCAUGAUCAACUGCUAGCUAUAGAUCAUGGGAUUACCACUAGACGUGUAGGUGCAGCGGAAGUGACUCAGUGUAGUCGUGCGUGUAGUAGCAAUGCCAUGUAAUUGCGUGGUCGUCCACCACUUCAAGCCCUCUCGCGUGGUUCGUUCUUGUGCUCUAGAUGCAGCACAUCCGAGGUAUCCCACAUGUACAGGGAAUAAGCAUCACACCUCUGGAUUGCUAGGUCCACGAGGAGCAAUAGUCGUGAGCGUGGGUGAGCAGUGAUGGUUGCCUAAUGGCAUGAGAAACCCUGGACACCCCUACCCUCUCUUUUAUAGACGUCCUCUAAUCAGCCCCGAGUUGGAGGCCCAAUUAGAAAACCCUAAGCCUUGUCUAAUUCAGGUCCAAACUAAUACAUGUGCUAAUCUAAUAUUCAUGUGUUGCCACACACGAACUCUGAUCAGGGACAACAUAGAAUAACCAUACAAGUAAAAGAGUUUCACAAACAAUUCACAUAAUUGUCAAUCGAUACAAGUUUGUCUACAAUGGAUAUUUAUCAAACUCAUAAUAUUUGUCAUGGAUACAAUCGUAAUAUCAUCAUCUCUAUGAUUACCUCUAGGGCAUAUUCCCAGCACCUUCACCGUCUUGCCCUUGUUUCACUCUUGAGGACUCGUGGGCUCAGGAUGGACUCAUGCUUCCCUUUCAUCUCAAGGGCAUGUUGUAGGUUGCUCGGUAUUUGACUCAUGAUGUUGUGACAUGGAGCUCUCCAUCGGCUGCACUAUCGCACACUCUAGGAGGCCAUGAAACUUGUCACGGACAUGCCUUCCCACUAGUGUAGGUGGCUCGGGCAUUGUCCACAGGAGAAUGGUUGCUGCCGCCAUGUUUGAUGGGAAGGGGUUUUUUGCCUCCCUUGUCCUCAAUGUUGUGCCAAUUGAUGUCAUGGGCUAAUCAUCGGGCUAUUCCUCUAUCCACGUGGGUUGUCUACUCAUGCUCAGGGGUUGCAUGUAGUUGCUACAAAGGUUUGUAGUCCUCAUCAAGUUUGGCCUCAAGCUCUUACAGCUGCUCGAACUCUACCCAUCGAGGGCUCUCAGGUGCUGACAUGGCAACCCAAUGCCUUGGGUGCCCGAAAGGUAAAACCUCUUGGGGUAGGGUGCGAUCUCUUGGCCCUACAGUGAUGCUGCCUUUGCCGAUAUGUCUUCAUCUCAUUGUUGAUGCAUUCCUGGGAGGGAUCAUAAUCAUCUUCUCUAGAGUCAGAGUAGCUGAAGGAAUAGUCACCUCCUGCGAUGAAGCGACAUAGAGCCUAUUGACAGGAGAUGACUCCUAAUUUUAACCAUCAAAUAGACAUGAAAGUGGAUUUAUAUGCAAACAUCUAGUAGAUAUAGGGUUAUCACUGAUAGAAUUACACGAUUUUUUGUGAAUGUCUAUUUCUGUAGGGUGUCAGCUGAAAAAAUAACCAAAAAUUGUCCACAUGUUAGGUUUACAUAGAGAGAAUACCUUGAACUUCAACUCAGGAACAAUCCAGAAGGUUCGAGGAGGCUCCAGACCGAACGAGAAGCAGAUCGAACUCAGUAGCCCGGUGGCCGCCCGGGCACCUCGGGCACCCGCCCCACGAGAUCAACCAAUCAGAGUGAACCUUGUGGAUCCUGCCUCUACCAUCUUUGAGGAGUAAUCUUGAGCAUAUCUUUAAGUCGGUUUGAUCCGAGGCCUAUGGUGCCUCCUAGGGGGAUAUAAAUACAAACCUAACCUCCCUAGCUAGUAGCUAAUUCUGAAACCAUAAUUAAUAUUUUCCAAAGAGAAUUAGCCAGAGAGGGUCCCUCGAAUGGAUAUGUCUCUUUAGGGUUUUAGCAACAAGAGAGAUUGAGAGAGUAUAGGGUUGUAACACCCAAAAUUUGAUUUUCAAAUAAUAGGACUUAAUUUGAUUUAUUUGAGUAUUUUUGUGAGCAUGUAAUAUAGUAAAUAAAUAAUUUUUAUUGAAAUUAAAAAUUCACCAUAAAUUUAGAAACAUGGUUGUGCAUUCAUGCUGGAGCAUAUUUUAUGUUUUGCUUGAUUGCUUUUGGUUAGAAAUAAUUUGUGCACAAAAAUUCAAUUUGUGAAAAUGCUUUUUGAAAAAGAAAAUAAAAAGAAAAGGGGGAAGAACCCCAGCCAGCCCAGCCCCCUCCCUGGCCUGCUUGCUACCCCCGCCUCGGCCCAGCGCGCGGCAUAGGAGCCGGCCCAACUCGCGCGCGACUGGGCAGGCGUGCCCCUUCUCUCCCUUGACCCGCUGCCAGUUGGGCCCCGUUCUUCUUUCACAGAUGCGUGGGGUCCACGUGACAGAGCCCUGGUUUCCUUCCUUUCUUCUUCUCGGGACCGAGCAGGACGCACAUGGAAGCCACCAAAUCUGUUUCGACCCCGUUUUCUGCGGGAUUUGAUUUUCCCGAACCCCUUUUUAGCCCUUGGAGAACCCCCGUGACCCUCUCUUCCAUAUACGUGCAUUGGUAGCCAACAUCACAGCUUCCCGUCGCCGUGUUGGAUCUCGCCGAAACAGAAACGAAACCACCGCCGUCGCGGGUCAUCUCUGUGUCUUUUCAGCUCGAGCAAACCAUCCUAGUGAGUUCGAGGUAAGAUCCUCCGCGCGUUGGUAUUCUUAUUUUGGAGUUUGGUGCUUGGAAUCGAGAAACCUGCGAACGCCGGCGAGCUUCGCAGUGGUGGCCAUGGCGCCACCGCACCUGCGCCUGCGCCUGGCCGGCCGCCGGCCACCCCCUUUUCCCUAGCGCGCCCGAUGCCGUCCAACCGAAGAUCGACGGCCAGGAAACAAGGAUACCCCUUUGAGGGGAUUUUUCUUUAAGAGUCCCUGGAUGUUUUAAUAAUUCACCGCGGUCCCUGGCGCCCUGAAGGAAAUACGUAUCCUUGGUUUAAAAGCGUAUUUCUGCGGGUUGAAAAUGAAAUACGUUUUCCAGUAUUUACUGAAUUGCCAUUCACAGUAUUUAGCCCAUAAAAUAUUCGUUUUAACUCCGUUUUUGUCCAUUCAAAUUUUGUUAGAUUCGUAUUUACGAGCUCUACAAGUUAGAACUAUUUAUUCUCUGUUUUGAAACUUUUUAAUUCUGCAGUAGCAUUUAAUUAAUUAUAUUUCUCUAUAGGAAAUCUUAGAAAAUUGAUAUCUUCCCCGUUUUAAUUCCGAUUUUCGUGAACUUUACGUUUGUGUGAUCGUAGCGCUGCGUAGAAUAUUUUCAUAAACUUUUAUCUUUGAUUUCUCACUGUUGGUGUAAUGUUCUAAUUAUAUCCUGUUUGCUUUGUGUAACAUUGUCACCAUUGGAUUGCGUGUUGUUGAUUGAUGUUUGGGAAUAGACGGUGAGUCGUACGUUGUUGAUCAAGACCAAGCUUUUGAAGAGCAGCAGGCUCAGGAGAGCUUUGAUCAAGGCAAGUAUAACUUGGGAUCAUCCUUGUUACAUAUUCACUUAUAAAUACACAUAUAUGUCAUAUGCAUGCUAUCACCUUGUCGACCUUAGCAAAAUCAUAGAUGAUUGUUACCUGGAUUCCUUGCUACCUACUUGAUAUGCAUUUGUUGUAGAUGUGCUAGUGCUUGAUAUAAUCCAUGAUCCUGUAAGAUGAUUAAUAGCUAUGCAAUGAACAUAAAAGAAUGACAAAUAACUGUAUGAGAUCUUGUGUGCACGUGAUCACCCGGGAUAACAGUGCAACCAUGAGGGCUAUAAUGGCUCUGGCUUUAGCUCAGUAUGGAGACCUUUUCUAGCUUGUUAGAGGUUACCUGAAAGGGCGGAGGGGCUGAACCGACACGGGUAUAGUGCGAGCCCCUGUCCCUAUGGGUAUAGGCUGCGCGUCAUUGUGCCAUUCGGAAGAGGUUGUAUCUAUAUCUGCUCGCAAAGGAAACCUUGCGGCCAUAACAUGUUAGACGAACUUUCGAAAGGCUUCAUAGUGAUCCCUGCCGACCUUCCUUGGUAGUGGGUUAAGAGGUCGACGGGCCUCGGGCGAAAGGGUAAAUCAUGACUCAUGGGUAAAGAUGUACAACCUCUGCUGAAUGUUAAAACUAGUAUACUAGCCGAGCUCACGGUCAGGAGCGGCCUUGGGGACAUCUACAUUAAGAUGAUGAGCUUAUUAUGUUAUUAUGUUCAUUUGAUUAUCGUUUAUGCUAUGAAUUAAUUAUGCUUACACUUGAUCAUGUGAUUAAUGGAUUAUUUAUGCUACCUUGACAUUUGCUAGUUGCUUAUGAAUAUGCUAUCCACUAUUAAAAGCUAAAUGCAGUCAAACCAGUGUCAGCUAUUUGAGCCUCAUGAACCCCUGGUUAUACUUGUUGAGUACGAUAUGUGCUCACUCUUGCAAUUUCCCAACACCCCAGGUUAUGCUAAUGAUGAUGAUUGGAAUGAGUACUACCGUUAUGAGUACUAGGUUUGGAGUCAACCAGUCAAUAGUGUCCCAGUGUGGAGCUUUCGUUGAGAGCAUUGUUCACUUUAUGCUAUCAUUUUUGUAUGAGACUAUGUGAUAUAUUAUAUUCCGAUAUGCAAUAAACACUGCAAUGGUACAUUUGAGAUUUGUCUGCUUAUGUGUGCGACUGUUUCUGGGGCACAUAUGAGUCUUUUAUGCAUCCUAUUUUGUUCUUAAAAUAUGGGUGUGACAAAUUGGUAUCAAAGCCGACUCUCGUGGUUUCACGGGCGCAUGUGUCGCAGUUGCGUAGGCAUGGUGUGCAUGGCUGGUGUGGACCCAGAGUGGUCACACAGCAUGGCACAUGCGCUGGCACUGGAUGCAUGGACGUGGCCAAGAGGGGACGUUCCUGGCUUGAGGUUGAUCGACGAGGACAUCGAUCUCUUAAGGGUGUGAGGAUGUAACACCCGGCCCAAGGCUUAAUAGAAUUAAUAGGAGACUAUACCAACAAGUUGCAACUUCUUUUCCGGAAGCCCAUCUCGAAAGAACUCUAUAUAUUAAGCGUGUUUGGCCUAGAGCAAUUUAGGGAUGGGUGACUGACCGGGAAGUACUUCCCGGGUGCGCGCGAGUGAGGACAAAGUGUGCAGAAAAGACGAAGUGUUGUUCUGUGGGGACUGACUAUAUUCUAGAAAAGCUGCUAGAUGUAAGCGGGCCCGGCCUCGUGGAGGCGGAACGUUACAGAUUGGUAUUAGAGCUUUGUUGACUGUCGGACGCAAGCCUAGUUAGAAAUGAGUCGUCUUAAGGUUUUGAAAUUGCUACAAAAUCCUUGUUCUAUAAACCUUGAUAUUUUCUCCUAUACUAUAUCCUUUUCAUUGCUAUUCAUCUUCACCUUGUUGCUUAUCUUAAAAGUACUUGUUCUCGUCUUCACUCCUUGAUUUGUUAUGCUUUUAGAACCUUCUCUUACCACCUUCUUAUAUAGUUGAAAGAGAAUUUUAGGAUCUUUGCCCUUAAUAGGAAGAGAACGUUAGUACCGCAAGUUGAGUCAAUGCUUGAAGUGUGAACUUUUGAUGCAUGGUUUGGUUUGUUAUUAUGCUUAUGCUUGAUUUGGAUUUUUGUAAUGAGUGCUGGAACCUUGUGGGCAUAUCCACAAGUUUCCUAGUUAAGAACCUUAAGUAAGAACAUGAAUAAAUAGUGGUUUGGGGGCAUAUCCUGUUCCUGUCCUUUGCUGUUUUCUGAAGCAGUCUGCAAAGAUUCUGGUAUAAAUCAAAUUCUGUUCGCGCAAUGUUCAUCAAAUUUUUCUGGGAACAAGUAGACUUUUAUAUAUUUCCAAUGCCUCAAGAAUUACCAUAUUAUCUAUUAUGAGCUGUUAGUUAUGACUGUUUAAAGUUGAGGUUUCUGCGCAGUCUGGAAUUCUAGAACAGUUUCGGUUGUACCCAGUUUUUAAUUAACCUAACCUUGGAAUCUGUUAAUAUGAUCUAAAUGAAAGUUGUAGACAAUCUCUUUAUCUUUCCAACGCUGUAUAGAAUGUAUCCUUUUGAAUAUUAGAACUCGAGAUAUGACUGAUUUUCUGAACUGCUGAUGUUGGAUGUUACCCAGAAAAUUUCAGAUUCCGUUAACUCUUGUAAUUGUCAUGUUGGACAUUACUAAGAUGUGUUUAUAUACCUUGGAAUGCAGAUAGCAGCAAGGGAAAGAGGCAGAGGCAGAGGCCGUGGCAAUGGCAAUGGUGGCAAUGCCCCAAUCACUGUGGAGGAACUCAUGCAAACCCAAAAUGAGAUGAUGCUCGUUUUCAUGCAGCACCUACAGCAGCAACCUCCACCAACACUACCACCUUUUCAUGUGAGGGAUAAGCGUGGAGAGUUUAUGAAGGGAAGACCUCCGGUAUUUACACACUCAGCUGAUCCCAUAGAGGCAGAUGAUUGGUUAUGUGCUGUGGAGAGGCAACUGAACAUAGCACAGUGCAAUGACUUGGAGAAGGUGUUGUAUGCUUCUGGACAGCUUUAGGGGGCAGCUCAGACAUGGUGGGAGUCAUAUCAAGCUGCUCGUCCCAACAAUGCUCCUCCUGUCACAUGGCUAGAAUUUUGUAGAGACUUCAGAGCUCGACAUACAAAUGAAGGAAUGAUGGAGCUCAAGCAAGAAGAAUUCAGAUCUCCCAGGAUGGACUCCAUGACUGUGGCAGAAGAUCAUGACACAUUUGAACAGCUGGCUCGCUAUGCUCUGAACGAUGUUAGGGAAGAUGCUGAUAAGCAGCGUCUAUUCAUGAAAGGUCUUUACUACGAGCUCAGGCUGCAGUUGGCAGGAAACACCUAUCCUACCUUUCAAGCUCUUGUGAAUCGUGCCAUUGUGCUUGAUAAUAUGCGUAAGGGUCAGGAUAAGAAGAGAAGGAUGCUGGCACAAGGUUCAGGAAGCAACAACCGUCAGAGUUUCAGUUCUCAUCAAGGCUAUCAGCAGAGGUUCUAGGGACCAGUUAGUCAGUGGAACCGCAACCAGCAACCCCAGCGUUUCCAGAAUCAAUCACAGAGUGGGAACCAACAUCCUCCAUUCCAACAACGUAACCAUAAUCAACAGCAGCAUGGUCAGCAGACACCUCGCUCAGGGAACUCAAAUGCCACAUCCAUGAAAAGAAGUGCUUCUAACACUCCUACCAGGUGUUUCCGUUGUGGGAAGGAAGGACAUAUGUCCUAUGAUUGCCUAGAGAAGUUUAAUCCGCAGAACAACGACCGGAGAUCCACUCCUAAUUUAGCAAAGGUGAACAAUGUGGCUGUCGAGGGUAUCAGUAAGGGGUACCCUCACCGAUGCACAUAACAAGAUUACUCGUACGCAAGACGAGGCCCUCAGCUCGACGUUCGGGUCGUACAUAUGCACGGUCAUCGACGGUCGCAGCCUCGAAGAUGGAAGUAGCGUCGAGCGAAUCGAUCAGGGGUCGAGCGCCAGCUACCGUCGAAUACGGAAACAGGCUCGUGCGAACCAGGAAGCGUCGAGCGCAAGGACGCCACCCGCCGCCUGACGCGCGCACGCGAGCCGGGGCAUUAAAUGCGCCUGCCGCUUUCCCACCUAACGCGCUGGUCACGGGAAGCGUGAUAGGGAACAGGCACCCGUCCCGUCAUUCUUUUUGCAGCCUUCCCCACCAAACGACCUAGGGCGUGUCAGGACGCAGGAAACGGGGAUGGAACGUCUAAUCAGGACCCCCUCGAGACAUCCAAGGUCAGCGCUCCGGGUAUCAGAACACUACACGGCGUCUGACCCUCGACCAGACAGGGAUCCAUCCUGGGGACGAGUUGGGCGUCGACUGACAACACCGCAACCACUCUGCCGGAUCUGCCGCCAUAUCGUACAAGCGUGCGACCGGUGAACCAGCCCAAGACGGUGCGCAGAGCGGGAUACAGGGGCACGCGUAAUCAUCAUCAGGCUACCAAGACGGGACGGCUCGAGACCAUGCCGAUACGGAAGCCUCGAGUAGGUCAGCGCUCCAUGCUGCUAUCGACCCCUGUUCUGACACCUACGCAUGUACCCUAGGUCUCUCCUUGGUGCUAUAAAAGGAGGGACUUAGGAAUAGAGCAGACAGGCAACACUACACCCAUACGCAGUAGAACUCUCACACUCCAUACCACCCUUGUAUUCGCCCCUGUACAAGCACUUCGGUGCAAGAUAAUACAAACUUCCCUCCCCCACUGGACGUAGGGCUUUCUCUUGCCCGAACCAGGAUAAAUCUCUGUGUCUUCUUGCAUCACCAUCUGGGAAAGGGAGCACGCAUACAAAUUUACUCGUUGGUGUGACCCCCCGUGGGGAAAACACCGACAGUUGGCGCGCCAGGUAGGGGUCCUGCGUGUUUUUCAUCGAUUUCCCACUCCUUUCCAGAUGGCCACUCUCGCUUCGCCGAUUCCGCGCUCCACGGUGAUUUGGUUUGGGAGUCUUGAGUUCAUGUUGACUGGCUCCGGCUAUGACAUGAUCUUACUCUCGAUCAAAGGACCAGGAGGAGCCCGCAUUGUGCCAGCACGGUUGAGGGCCCCGAGACGCCCUCGCCACCAUGCCUCCCCGCCCAAGAAGAGGCGUGGACAGCAUCAUCGUCGCCCCUCUGCCUCGUCACGACCAGCAGUUCGUGCUAGGCAGGAGGUGACACGAGAGUCGGCAGCCCCGCGUGCCAGAACCGUGGACAUGCCGGUUCAGCGUCACACGACGACAAGAGAUGACGCACCCGCCGCCAGGUUACUUCCACACGGGUUGAUCAGUCCAAGAAGGGCACUGCCAUUCAGAUUGGACAACGCCACGGCGUCGCUCGCCAGAGCGAUAUGCCCAAAUGCCCAGACAUACGUAGAGAGACCAAUGGUUCUCCCGCGUAACUCUGAAGCACAGCAGUCGACGUCCGAGCUGCCAGAUCUCUCCCAUGUGCGAGGCCUCCGUCGCCUAGGCCCUGGGCGAUACACGAUCUCCUCGCUCAGGCAACGGCUAUUGGAGGAGGGACGUGGAUGUUUCUACGCCGCCAAGCCGGACUCCGACUCCGAGACCGAUACCUACGACCCUACUUGGGAAUGCUAUCACAUCGACGGGGCAGUAGAAACUACCGACGAGACAUAGGACGCAGCUGCGGGCGGUCGAGCCCCUGCAGCAAGGGAAGACCCCAGGACGCCUGGGGACGGCGGACAGGUCGACCCACUUCCACAGGAAGACAGGGCCGCGCAGCUUGCGCAGCUACGAGAGCUCAAGACAAAGCUUAACGAAGACCGCGAGCGCCUCGUCCUGCUCGAGCAAAUCCUCGAACAAGACUUGCCUUACCCGCCCGGCGGAAGUGUCCGUAGGCGAGCUCGAGAGGUACACCGGCAAAUCAUCGGAGAUGCGGAGCCAGAGCAACCCGUCAGCCGCUUCCCUCGAGCAGGCCAGAACGUAGUAGCGGCAACAAUGCUGCUACGCAACAUGCCAGAGCCAUCGAACUCCCAAGCUCAAUGCAUUCGAGACGAGGUGCAGACUCUGCUCCAGGUAGCGGCGGUUCAACAAGCCGAAAUCUCAGCUUCUCGACGACGAGGAGCUGCUACUGAAAAGUGUGAUGAGCCGCCCCAAAAUGAAAAGGAGGUGUCAGUCCACCAACAGACACCCCCUCGAGGAAGAAAGACCACUCUCAUCCUCCCUGUCGACAAUCAGCGUCGACACGACGCCCGGCAUGACGUCGAAUAGAAUCGACGCCGUCGGUACGGGGAUGCGGAAGAGCGCAGUUACAGCGCGCAUCGCGGUGGAAGGUAUGACAGCGACGAGGACCGGAUGGCCCCCGAGCCACCAGGCCCACGGGUAUUCAGCAGGGCAAUCCGCAGCACGCCCCUACCCAGUCCAUUCAGACCCCCGACCAGCAUCGCGAAAUAAAAUGGUGAGACCAAACCAGAGUUGUGGCUGGCCGAUUUUAGGCUGGCCUGUCAGCUAGGAGGCACUCAAGGGGAUGAUCGAGCCAUCAUCAGACAGCUACCACUCUUCCUCUCCAACACCACCCGUCGAUGGCUCGAGGAACUUCCAGCAAAUUAGAUCCACGACUGGGUCGAUUUGGUUAAAGUCUUCGAGGGUAAUUUCAAAGGGACCUACAUACGGCCCGGGAACUCAUGGGACCUCAGCAAAUGCAAGCAGAAGUCAGGAGAAACUCUUCGAGAGUAUGCUCAACGCUUCUUGAAGCAGCACACUGAGCUGCCACAUAUCCCCGACCAUGACGUCAUCCUGGCCUUUGUCUCUGGUACCACCAGUCGAGACCUGGUGCGAGAAUUAGGCCGGAAUCGCCCUCAGACCGUCGAUGAGCUAAUGGACGUAGUGGCAAACUACGCAGUUGUGAAGGAAGGAAAGGCAAGCAGCCCGUCGAUGAAGAUGAGACCCCCAGUCGAGGGCUCAAAAAGAACAAGAAGAAGCAGAAAGCGCGGCAGUUCCAACGGGAAGAUUUCGACGACAACCUUAACGCCGCCAUGGAGCGGAAGAAGCCUCGAGGUACUCUAGAUGGAGGUAUCUUCGAUAAGAUGCUAGAGGAACCAUGCCCUUACCAUAAGGGAGGCACCAACCACAAGCUCAAGGACUGUCGUAUGCUGAGAAAGCACUUCGACGGACUAGGGUUCAAAAAGGACACACGUGACGACUCCAAGAUAGAGAAGGGCGGCAACAAGGAGGACAACAAAGAUGACGACGGCUUCCCCGCCGUCCACGACUGCUACAUGAUCUAUGGUGGGCCCUCGACGCAGUUGACCACGAGGCAGCGCAAAAGGGAGCGCCGUGAGGUCUUCGCGGCAAGAAUGGCGAUGCCCCAGUACCUCAGCUGGUCGAGCACUCCCAUCACCUUCGAUCGAGAGGACCACCCCGACAAGGUAGUCACCCCAGGCGUCUACCUGCUCGUCGUCGACCCUAUCAUCGUCAACACCCAGCUCUCAAAGGUGCUGAUGGACGGAGGCAGCAGCCUCAACAUCAUCUACCUCGAGACCCUCGACCUCCUCGGCAUCGAUAGGGGACGUCUCCAGCCAAGUGCCGGCGGAUUCCAUGGCGUCGUGCCAGGAAAAAAGGCGCUGCCAGUGGGUCGAAUCAACCUACCGGUCUGCUUCGGCACGGCGGCCAACUUCACAAAAGAGACCCUCACCUUUGAGGUGGUCGGGUUCUGGGGCACGUACCACGCCAUCAUCGGGCGCCCGGGCUACGCCAAGUUCAUGGCCAUACCCAAUUACACCUACUUGAAGCUGAAGAUGCCCGGUCCCAAAGGCAUCAUUACUGUCAGCUCCUCCUUUGAGCACGCUUACGAGUACGACGUCGAAUGCGUCGAGUAUGGGGAGGCGGUCGAGAACUCCACCGAGCUCGUCGCAAAACUCGAGGCCCUGGCCGCUGAGGCUCCAGAGCCAAAGCGCCACGCGGGCAAAGGAGGACCAAGAAGAUCCCGCUCGACCCCAAUGACUCCGACGGCAAAGGUGCUGACGAUCAGCACCGACCUCGACCCCAAAUAGGAAGUUGUGCUCGUCGACUUUCUCCGUGCGAACGCCGACAUGUUUGCAUGGAGUCCCUCGGACAUGCCAGGCAUACCGAGGGAAGUCGCCGAGCACUCCUUGGAGAUUCGAGCCGGUUCCAAGCCAGUGAAGCAACGGUUGCGCCGAUUCGAUGAGGAGAAGCGCAAGAUCAUUGGUGAGGAGGUCCACAAGCUUUUGACGGCCGGAUUCAUCAAGGAGGUUCACCAUCCCGACUGGUUAGCAAACCCUGUACUAGUUAAGAAAAAGAAUGGGAAGAUGAGGAUGUGCGUCGAUUAUACGAGUUUAAAUAAAGCAUGUCCAAAAGUUCCCUUUCCAUUACCACGUAUUGAUCAAAUUGUUGAUUCUACUGCGGGAUGUGAAACCCUUUCUUUUCUUGAUGCAUAUUCUGGUUACCAUCAAAUAAAAAUGAAAGAGUCCGACUAGCUCGCGACCUCAUUAUCACACCUUUUGGGAUGUAUUGCUAUGUAACCAUGCCGUUUGGGCUUCGAAAUGUGGGAGCCACAUACCAACGCUGCAUGCCCCACGUAUUUGGCAAGCAUAUAGGAUCGACAGUCGAGGCCUAUGUCGACGAUAUCGUCGUCAAAUCAAAGCGGCAAGGAGAUCUGAUCCAGGACCUCGAGAUUGCUUUUGGCUACUUACGCGCCAACCAGAUCAAGCUCAAUCCCGAGAAAUGCGUUUUCAGCGUGCCUCGAGGCAUGCUCCUGGGUUACAUUGUUUCCCAACGCGGUAUCGAGGCCAACCCCGAGAAAGUCUCGGCGAUCACGAGAAUGGGGCCAAUCCGAGACAUCAAGGGCGUGCAAAGAGUCACGGGAUGCCUGGCGGCGCUGAGCCAUUUCAUCUCGAGAUUAGGAGACAAGGCGUUACCACUGUAUCGACUUCUAAAGAAAGUCGAGCGUUUUUCUUGGAUGCCUGAGGCCGAGGAAGCCCUCGAAAAUCUGAAGAAAACACUGACCUCAGCACCAGUCCUGGUCCCGCCUCAACCUGCAGAACCACUGCUCCUUUACGUUGCCUCGACGACCCAGGUUGUCAGCGCGGCGGUGGUGGUCGAAAGGCAGGAGGAGGGGCAUGCACUGCCAGUCCAAAGGCCGGUCUAUUUCGUCAGUGAGGUGCUCUCGGAGACCAAGGCACGUUACCCCCAAAUUCAGAAGCUGAUCUACGCCGUAAUCCUCGCCCGCCGCAAGCUGCAACACUACUUCCUCGAUCACCCCAUCACGGUGGUCUCGUCUUUCCCCCUGGGCGAGAUAAUCCAGAGUAAGGAGGCCACGGGAAGAAUAGCUAAAUGGUCAGUCGAGCUCAUGAGUGAGACUCUCACUUAUGCGCCUCGCAAGGCCAUCAAGUCGCAAGCCCUGGGGGACUUCGUCGCGGAAUGGACAGACUCCCAGCUUCUCCCGACUCAGGUCCAGGCGGAGCUGUGGACGAUGUUUUUCGACGGGUCACUCAUGAAAAUGGGGGCCGGGGCUGGCCUGCUGUUCAUCUCGCCCUUGGGCGUCCAUAUGAGGUACGUCAUCAGGAUCCACUUCGCUACAUCCAACAAUGUCGUAGAGUACGAGGCCCUCGUCAACGGUCUCAAGAUUGCCAUCGAGCUAGGAAUCCGACGCCUCGACGUCCGAGGUGACUCCCAACUCGUCAUCGACCAAGUGAUGAAAACCUCGAGCUGCCACGACCCGAAAAUGGAGGCGUACUGCAAGGAAGUCCGUCUACUCGAGGACAAAUUCCAUGGCCUCGAGCUCGUCCAUGUCGCCCGACGCUACAACGAGGCAGCCGACGAACUCGCCAAGAUCGCGUCGACUCGAGGCACGGUGCCACCUGACGCGUUCUCAAGAGAUCUUCACGAGCCAUCCGUCGACUUAGGCUCUGGGGCUGGCAUCGAUGCCGCCCCUGCUCAGCCAACCAACGCCGUCGACGAACUAUUGAUGGCAGCUGAGGUGAUGGAGGUAGAACAGCGGCCCGGUCGACUGUUUGACUGGCGCACACCGUUCCUCGACUGCCUAAUCCGCUGCGAGCUGCCAGAAGAUCGAUCUGAGGCUCGCCGUAUCGCUCGACGGGCCAAGUCAUAUGUGAUCUAUGGCGAAGGCAAUGAGCUAUAUCGACGAAGCCCGAUGGGGGUCCUACAGCGUUGCAUCACCGUGGAUGAAGGCCGGAAACUCCUCGAGGACCUACACUCGGGGGCUUGCGGCCACCACGCUGCCCCACGGACCCUCGUAGGGAACGCCUUCCGACAAGAUUUCUACUGGCCAACGGCCGUAGCAGACGCUAUCGAGCUCGUACGCUCAUGUCAUGGGUCCCAGUUCUACGCCAAACAGACGCAUCUGCCCGCCCACGCUCUUCAGAUGAUCCCCAUCACCUGGCCAUUUGCGGUAUGGGGACUCGAUCUAGUAGGGCCUCUACAAAAGGCGAAAGGGGGGUACACCCACUUGCUGGUAGCCAUCGACAAAUUCUUCAAAUGGAUCGAGGCUCGACCCAUCACCAACAUCCGUUCUGAGCAAGCCGUUCUUUUCUUCACCGACAUCGUCCACCGGUUUGGGAUUCCUAACGUCAUCAUCACCGACAACGGCACUCAGUUCACCGGCAAAAAGUUCUUGGACUUCUGCGAUCAGCAUCACAUCCAUGUGAACUGGUCUGCAGUAGCCCACCCUCGAACUAACGGCCAGGUCAAGCGUGCCAACGGCAUGAUUUUACAAGGACUCAAGCCAAGGAUUUACAAUCGCUUGAAGAAAUUCGGCAAAAAGUGGGUCGAGGAGCUUUUCUCGGUCCUAUGGAGCCUAAGGACAACACCAAGCAGGGCCACAAAAUACACCCCAUUCUUCAUGGUCUACGGUUCUGAGGCUGUCCUCCCCACAGACCUCGAGUAUGGGUCCCCUCGACUUAAAGCAUACAACGAGCAAUCAAAUAAGGAGACUCAAGAAAAUGCGGUUGACCAACUCAAGGAGGCUCGAGACAUGGCCCUCCUCAACUCUGCCAGAUAUCAGCAGAAACUUCGACGCUACCACGACAAGCACGUGUGCAGAAGGGACUUAAACGUGGGUGACCUAGUCCUACGAUGACGGCAAAGCAAUCAAGGACGCCACAAGUUGACUCCGCCUUGGGAAGGCCCGUACGUGGUGACCGAUGUCUUGAAGUCAGGAACAUACAAGUUGGCAGACGAGAAGGGGGCGAUCUUCACCAACGCAUGGAACAUCGAACAGCUACGUCGAUUCUACCCUUAGAAUUUCAAAACUUUAUGUUCCAGCGCACAUUCUGUACCAAGACUUUGUAAAUGAACGCAUAAAUAAAUGAAGCCUUUCCCUCGAGCAAUUUCCUUUUAUACCAAGGCUUUACAAGUCAAAAUCUCGACGUCAGAAGGGGGCACCGACUAUGACCCAUCAUAAUCCGCACCCCCUCGGGGGCUACCAGGGGGCGACCCCCCCAAGUGUCGAAAAAGCCAAGAAAUUCUCUUUUCCUUACUUAGUAAACCUUGUGCGUUCGAGUAGUUGAGGCACCUCGAGCCCCUUAGGGGCCGAGGGAGGAUGAGCCUGAGAACUCCUACGCCCCCGGGCUAGGGAAACUCUACUCACUUCCCCACCCUUGAGGUGAUCGAGGCUGUUUUUGAUGAAAGAUUGAACAAGGAAUACAAACAUAAGCGCAAAGGAAAACAAAAGAGCCUCGAGCGAAAAGACAGAUAAACAUUUAACAGUCACGAAAAGACAUUGUACCACUUAAACAUUUAACAGUUAACAGAGUAUUAUAGAAGGGGCCCCAGGCACCCUAAGCAGGCUCGCAGGCCUUAGUCUUCAGCACGAUCCUCGCCACCCUCGCCUGCGCCCGAGCUGGUCUCAGGAGGAAGCACCUCAGGCUCAAAAAGCUUAGCCAGCCUUUCUCCAGGGGCCUCCGCAUCAUCGAUCAAGGCGUGGAGCCUCUCUUCGUUCUCCGCAUCGGUAUUAGAGAUGUCGGUGACGAAGCCGUGGGACACCACCUCCAUGUCGUAGGAGAAGCCUGAGCAGACAACCGCCAUUGCUCGCUUCACCCCGAUGUGGAGGGCAUCCCGCACCCGAUCUCGCAGCGUCGCGCCUAUGUAGCACAGCUGGUCGACCAGUGCGUCGCCUCGAGCGUCCUCCCUCGACUCGUCCAUAGGCUCGAUCUCCCAAGAGGUCGAGAGGUCGCUUAUCACCGUCCGCACUCGACGGUUCAAAGCCACCUCCGCCUCGAGCUGAGCCUUAGCAUUGCGGGCCUCGGCUUGGGUGGCCAAGAGUUCGUCCUUAAGCCCUAUGAACACCAAUACAAGAAACUUUAGGGUAAAUCGAACACGUCUCGAAAAAAGAAAUCCAGCAAUAGAAACAUACCGCGAACACUCUCCUCCAGGGCCGUGUUCUCGCCGACCAAUCUGGUGUUAGCCCUCUCGAUCUCUUUGUUGGAGCGCGCCAGCUCAGUGUUGGCAACGCGGAGAUCCUCGAUCGCCUUGCCAGCCUAAACGAUGGCCCCACUCUUCUCCAACAGCUCUCCCUUCAGACGUUCGUCAUCGUCAGAGAGCCCGUGGGAUCGAGCCCUCUCUGCCUCGAGAUCUUCGAGGGCCUUCUUCUUUGCGUCCUCUGCGGCACCCUUGGCGACUUCACUGUCCACAUAUGCCACCUUCAUCCUUUGAAAGGAAUCUCGGAGGGAGUCAAGGUCGGUCUUGAGAAGUCCCUUCUUCUUGUCCAAAUCAGCGAUGACGCUCUUAUAGGACAGGGCCUCCUCCCGGGCUUUAGACGCGGCCUCCUCGACCGACAGAGCCCGCUCUCGCAACAGCGUCGCCUCUUCCUCCGCCUUCCUUGAAGCCACUUGAGCCUCGACCAAGGCAGCCUCCCUCGCCUUCUUCUCCUCCUUGAGCGCUAUAAGGUCUUUAUAGGCCUUGAGAAGCUUUUCUUGCGACUCGAGGAGUUGGUCCUUGAGGACGGGAGCUGCUCCCAGCCUCCUCGGGUGGCGUGAAUGAAGCUCGACUUGAUACAAGAGGUCUCUUUCAUGUCCUGCGAGCCGGGGGUCCGACGGUUAGAACGUGAAACCAAAGGGUCUAUGAGAAUUAAGGACCGAAAAAUACUUACAAAGUAGGCCGGCGCGAGCCCGUUGUUGAUAACAUCCGCCAGGAGCCCCACCACGUGCUUCAUCCAAAGGCGGAGCUCCUCGACGUGUUCCCAUUUCUCCGCCUCCUUCCUAUCGUCCAGGAAGAUGUUGGGCUCAGACGGAUCGGUGGAAGCCCGGAUGCGGAUCCUAUCGGGGCACCAGUGCUCCAUCUCCCGGUCGGCCCGCGCCUUGGCACCGCGGAUAAGGUCCUCGACGGUCUCGAGGGAGCCCCCAUGGCGCAAGAACAGGUCGACGAGGCAUGGGAACCGCCCGUCGUCGUCCACCGUCUUCCAGGUACCGUCCUUACUCCCCGACGUCCCAAUCUCGUCCUCCUCAGAGGGAAAGCGGUCCUGCCAUGUCCGACGCUCUCGGAGGAACCCUGGGGCGAUCCCGUCCAUGCCGUAGAUCGUCCUCCUGAUCUCGGACUCGGGGUCGGCGGGGGUGCGCAUCAUGCAGGCGAGUGCCACCACUCCGUCCGCUCGCCCCGGCUCUGCCCGGAUCGCGGCGGGCGCCGCCGGAAGGAGCCACGCUGGGGUCGGAGGGCCGUACACCGGCAAAUCUUCUUCCUGCUCACCGGGCUCUUGCGGCACCGGUGGUACUGGUUGGGGCAGACCUUGAGGUGGGGGCUCGAGCGGUCCCUCUUCUUGGCCCCCUCGAUGUUGCUGCUGCUGCCCCUCGAGCAUUUGCUGCUACUGUUCCUCCUGCUGCUGCUGCUGUUACUGCUGCUGCUCCUGCGGCUGCCGCGUUGCCCCGCGCUCCCGCUCCUCCUCCUCCUCCUCUUUCUUCUUCUGCUCCUCGAGGGCUCGAAGGCCAGCGGGCCAGGGAGUCCGUCCCACGACGAGGGAGGUCGAUGCCUCCUCCUCCAUAGGGCGGGCAUCCCCAGACGCCUCGUUACCGAAAGACGUGUCGCCGAUGGUGAUGGGGUCCGCCUCGACCCCCAAUCAAGGAGGCUCAGGGGCUCCUUCUUGCACCUGAGUUUGGGGCGCCUCGCCAUGUGUCGAUGGCAACGGGGUAGGCUCGGGACGAGGCGGAACACUCUCGACAUCGGCCGGAGGUUGAGAGUCGGAGGAGCCUGCAAAACGAAGAGUAAAGGCCGGUGACUAUAAUGACCAACGCAAGAACGUCACAAGACCAUAAGUAAGCUACAAACCUGGCUCUUUGGAGACUGCUCCUGCUUUGAGCCUUUUCGCCAUUGAAGGCUGGGCCUGCUCGAGUGUCCGCUUUAGCCUAAGAAAAGAAAGGGAUGAACGUAAAAAGAUCGGCGUAUGAGAAAAUGUAGAGGAACAGGAAAACAAAAGUCGCAACGUCGAAGAAGCUUACCCCACAGGGAGAACAGCUCGCCUCCCGCCGCCCCGACCGGUGGGCCUCGAGCCACCCCGCGUCAAGGCUCCAGGCCCCUCGAGGGCAGGCGCUGGCCUUGGCGCAGCAACUCCCGCUUGGCGGGCACCGGGACUGGCGCUCCUGCGGCCGGCCUCUCCUUUCUCGGAAGCCGCAGCGCGACCGCGAGUCAGUGGCCCCGUCGCUUGGGGCCUAGCAUGGCCGCCCCCCCUAGGCGCAGUGGGAGGGCGCGGCGCGACCUGACCAGCCAUGGGCGCAGGAGGGGUGUCGGCCCGAGGGCGGUGAGACCCGCCCGGACCCUCCUUCGGAGUUUCCGUCCGGGGGGCGUUGACGUCACCUCGAGGCGGACCCUCGAGGAUUCGGUCAAGGCGUGACGCCAUCCCCUCGGAGUCGUCGCUGCCCUCGUCGUCAUCGUCAUCAUCGCUUGGGGAUUCUUCCUCAGGCUCCCCCCUGUGCCUGGAUUUAGCUCGACGCGCCUCUAGUGCUUGGCGGUUGAGGUUCUUCUUUUUCUCCCCUUUCUUUGCGGCGUCCUUGGCGGACUUCGACUUCUCGGCGGACUGGCGCCGUCUGUCACGGUUGACCUCGUCCUCCUUCACAGGGGGCCUCAAAGACCGGACAUCUAUGCGUCCCUGCCAGAAAAAAGGUAGGCUUAAAAAGGAUCGAGGGAAAUCCAGAAUCGAAGCUAUGUGCAAAAGAAGAACGUACCAGGUCGAUCGAGCCCUCGUCGGGCCUCAUAGGGAAGCCGUUGACAUGCUCCAAUUUGAAGUCGCCGAGGAUGGCCGCCCUAACUCGGGCAGCGGUUUUGUCAUCCACCAGAGCCUCGUUGGACAUCCGGCAUGCCUCGAGAUCCCGGGAAGAAACACCCGGCCCCAUCUCGUCCAUCCUCAGCGGCCGAGACAUCAAUGGGAGGACCCUCCGACGAUGGACGACCGAGAGGACGAGAGCGGCGGACAGGCCCUCCAGGCGCAGCUUCUUCAGGGCGUCGAGGAGGGGGUCGAGCCGCGACUGGUGCUCUUGGACAAUGCCAUAUGUCCAGUUGUCCGGGCGCUCCGUAACCAGACGACCGGUGUAGGUAGGGAAGAGACCGUCGUCGUUCCUCAGGUAGAACCACUAGAAGUCCCACCCGGCGUGGUUCGAUGACAACCCCACCGGGAUGUACUCGCGCGGCCUCUCCGUCUUCUUCGUUUUCAGCACCAGGUUGAGGCACCCGGGCCGCACAUGCUUCCUCACGCCUGUGGUUCCGGUGGGGGCGUUGAAAAGCUCGCCCCUGUAGAGGUGGAGCCACAGCUCCCAGUGGGGCAUCAACCCGAGGUAGCCCUCGCACACCGCAGCAAAGACCGCCGCGACGGUGAUGGCGUUUGGGGAGAAAUGCUGGAGCUCCACCCCAUAGUGGAGGCAGAGAGCCCGCAUGAAGCGGCUCGGGGGAGCGCCCAGGCCGUGGCGGUGGAAUUUGGCGAACGACACCACGUAGCCCUCAGGCGGCUGGGGCUCCCUGUGGCCCACCGGUGGCGCAAUCCACUCCGGCGAUGACAGCGAGGUGCGGCGGCGCAGGAGUCCCUCUUUCUCUAGAUGUAGCAACCGAUGCUCCGUCAUCGACGACGGGCGCCAGUCGUCGGCGGCGACAAGUCUCACAGGCAUCUCGGCUAGAAGGAUGGCGGAUCCGCUACCGCUCGAGGGGGUGCGCGCGCGUGAGACAGCAAGAGAGCUAAGGCAACGAAAGGAUGAAGGCAAGAAGGCGGAAGGCGGAAGAAAGAACGGCGGCGGCGCCACAGCGUAUUUAUAGGCAGCAGUCCGCCAACGGACGGAUCCGAGAAAUGAGGUAACUCCCCCCAUAAAUGCGCCGCCUAACGGUCCUUUCCCUCCUCACAGGUGGGGCGCUCCGAAUUCCACGCCGACACAAUGACGUAACGUCUCCACCUAAAAAGGCGCGCCCAACAGGCAAAAAGGCAAACCGCCACGACUCCUUCCAUGCCUUGUAAGCCAAGAGAUGUGCCCACAAGAGUCUCCAGAGGUCGAUGGCUGGCCCACCGACAGGGUUUGACAGCCGAUCUCGAGCACCAGAGUCAGGGAUCCCCAGCGAGCGGUCGAAGAUCGAGGCCCGCCUCGAAGACUCGCUGGCGAUGUCCAAGGUAGGGUCGAGACAGUCGAGAGGAAUCCCGCCGACGGGAGGCGUCGAGCCGCUGGACUCUAUCGAAUGAGACCAGUAUCCCCGACCACGUCGACCUUGCUUUAUGAGGACGCCUCCGGGCUACAGCUGACCCCCUCGAAAGGGGCACAGGUUCUCACUUGGACUACCCGUUAGGAACUCAAUCUGGGGUGGAAGACGCUCGCUCUAUCGAAGAGUACGUCGAAACCCCCACGCAAAACAAGCCGAUCAAAACCUUCCACCACUGGUGUCGAUAGCGUUUCUGCAAAUUAGGCGAUAUAACCUUCGAAGGAGUCAAAAACUCCUCCAAGGGCUCGGGGGCUACCCCCGCGGGGUCGCUCGCGCGCCCCCACGGAAAUUCGAUCGCAAAACAAAGCCUCCACUCGAGCGCCAGCGCUCAAAUGGAGACUCGGGGGCUACUGUCGAGGGUAUCAGUAAGGGGUACCCUCACCGAUGCACAUAACAAGAUUACUCGUACGCAAGACGAGGCCGUCAGCUCGACGUUCGGGUCGUACAUAUGCGCGGUCAUCGACGGUCGCAGCCUCGAAGACGGAAGUAGCGUCCAGCGAAUCGAUCAGGGGUCGAGCGCCAGCCACCGUCGAAUACGGAAACAGGCUCGUGCGAACCAGGAUGCGUCGAGCGCAAGGACGCCGCCUGCCGCCUGACGCGCGCACGCGAGCCGGGGCAUUAAAUGCGCCUGCCGCUUUCCCACCUAACGCGCUGGUCACGGGAAGCGUGAUAGGGAACAGGCACCCGUCGCGUCAUUCUUUUUGCAGCCUUCCCCACCAAACGACCCAGGGCGUGUCAGGACGCAGGAAACGGGGAUGGAACGUCUAAUCAGGACCCCCUCGAGACAUCCAAGGUCAGCGCUCCGGGUAUCAGAACACUACACGGCGUCUGACCCUCGACCAGACAGGGAUCCAUCCUGGGGACGAGUUGGGCGUCGACUGACAACACCGCAACCACUCCGCCGGAUCUGCCGCCAUAUCGUACAAGCGUGCGACCGGUGAACCAGCCCAAGACGGCGCGCAGAGCGGGAUACAGGAGCACGCGUAAUCAUCAUCAGGCUACCAAGACGGGACGGCUCGAGACCAUGCCGGUACGGAAGCCUCGAGUAGGUCAGCGCUCCAUGCUGCUAUCGACCCCUGUUCUGACACCUACGCAUGUACCCUAGGUCUCUCCUUGGUGCUAUAAAAGGAGGGACUCAGGAAUAGAGCAGAUAGGCAACACUACACCCAUACACAGUAGAACUCUCACACUCCAUACCACCCUUGUAUUCGCCCCUGUACAAGCACUUCGGUGCAAGAUAAUACAAACUUCCCUCCCCCGCUGGACGUAGGGCUUUCUCUUGCCCGAACCAGGAUAAAUCUCUGUGUCUUCUUGCAUCACCAUCUGGGAAAGGGAGCACGCAUACAAAUUUACUCUUUGGUGUGACCCCCCGUGGGGAAAACACCGACAGUGGCAGUGGAAACAGUUCAAGAGGGACCAAAAAUCAUGAUGGGUACGUUCAGCAUCAACUCUAUCCUCGCUACAGUCUUAUUUGAUUCUGGAGCUUCGCAUACAUUCAUAUCACAAGCAUUUGUUAGAGUUCAUAGCAUUCCACUAGUUGCAAUGAAAGCCCUAUGCUAGUAAAUUCACCAGGUGGGACUAUACCACUUUCUUUAUGUUGCCCCUCAGCAAGUCUUUCUUUAAGGGGGGUAGAUUUUCCUAUCAGUCCCAUGGUUAUGAGAACUUCAGGCAUAGAUGUGAUCUUGGGUUUGGAUUGGAUGAAGUAAUAUGACAAAGAUAUUAAGUGCAAGGAGGGAGUAGUGGCUCUGACAACCCCAAAGGGAGAACGAAUCAGAGUUGAUGUAGCAGUGCAAGCACCACUCACAGCCAAGGUGAACCCACAAGCAUUUGUUAGAGUUCAUAGCAUUCCACUAGUUGCAAUGAAAGCCCUAUGCUAGUAAAUUCACCAGGUGGGACUAUACCACUUUCUUUAUGUUGCCCCUCAGCAAGUCUUUCUUUAAGGGGGGUAGAUUUUCCUAUCAGUCCCAUGGUUAUGAGAACUUCAGGCAUAGAUGUGAUCUUGGGUUUGGAUUGGAUGAAGUAAUAUGACAAAGAUAUUAAGUGCAAGGAGGGAGUAGUGGCUCUGACAACCCCAAAGGGAGAACGAAUCAGAGUUGAUGUAGCAGUGCAAGCACCACUCACAGCCAAGGUGAACCAACUGAAUGAUGAUGUUGAUCCUCAGAAUCUGGUAGUGGAUGAGUUUCCGGAUGUCUUACCACAUGAACUGCCAGGUAUGCCACCUGACCGAGACAUUGAAUUUAUUAUUGAAUUACUACCUGGUACUGCACCCAUAGCUAAAAGACCAUAUAGAAUGGGGGUUAUGGAACUAGAAGAACUUAAGAAACAAAUUAAGGAAUUGCAAGAUAAAGGGUUCAUUCGUCCUAGUUCAUCACCAUGGGGUGCACCAGUUAUCUUUGUUGAUAAGAAGGAUGGUAGUCAGAGGAUGUGUGUUGAUUAUCGGUCACUUAAUGAGGUCACUAUCAAGAAUAAAUAUCCCUUGCCUAGGAUUGAUGACUUGUUUGAUCAGCUAAGAGGUACUUGCGUAUUCUCUAAGAUUGAUUUGCGUUCUGGUUAUCAUCAAUUGAAGAUUCGAAAUUCAGAUAUACCAAAGACAUCUUUCACAACAAGGUAUGGGUUGUAUACAGUUAUGUCUUUUGGUUUGACCAAUGCACCAGCUUACUUUAUGUACAUGAUGAAUAAAGUAUUUAUGGAGUACCUUGAUAAGUUUGUGGUGGUCUUUAUUGAUGAUAUUCUGGUAUUCUCUAAAACCAAGGAAGAACAUGCUGAACAUCUGAGAUUGGUCUUAUAGAAACUUAGAGAACAUAAGCUGUAUGCUAAGCGUAGUAAAUCUAGGUUUUGGUUGGAAGAAGUUUCUUUUCUUGGUCAUGUUGUUUCUAACAGUGGUAUUGUAGUGGAUCCUAGUAAGGUGAAAGACGUAUUGAAUUGGAAACCACCUACAAAUGUAAGUGAAAUUCACAGUUUUCUUGGUUUAGCUGGUUACUAUUGUAGAUUCUUUGAAGGGUUCUCAAAACUUGCAAAGCCUAUGACUGCUCUGUUGGAGAAGAAUGCUAAGUUUGUAUGGUCUGAUAAGUGUCAAGCUAGUUUUGAGGAGUUUAAGAAGAGAUUGACUACUGCACCUGUGUUGGUAUUGCCAGAUCUGAGUAAGAGUUUCUCUAUCUAUUAUGAUGCUUCUCAUCUGGGCUUGGGUUGUGUUCUUAUGCAAGAAGGUAGAGUUGUUGCUUAUGCAUCUAGAUAGUUGAGGAAACAUGAACUGAAUUAUCCUACUCAUGAUUUGGAGUUAGCAGCUGUGGUUCAUGCACUCAAGAUUUGGAGACACUAUUUGAUUGGGCAUAAGAGUGACAUAUAUAGUGAUCAUAAGAGUUUGAAGUAUAUCUUCACCUAGACAGAUCUGAAUUUGAGGCAACGAAGAUGGUUGGAACUGAUAAAAGAUUAUGAUUUGGAAGUGCAUUAUCAUCCUGGAAAGGCGAACGUCGUAGCUGAUGCACUUAGCAGAAAGAAAUAUGCUAAUGAGCUUCGGGCGACACCUGAAUCUGAGGAGUUGUGUGCUGAAUUUGCAUAUUUGAACUUGGGAAUUGUAGUAAAUGCUAUGGAAAUUGAGGUCACUCCUACUCUAGAGGAAGAGAUAUUGAAAGGACAGUUGGAAGAUGAGAAACUAAAGGAGAUAGCACAAAAUGUGGAAUUAGGCAAAGAACCAGGAUUCAGAAUUGAUGACAAUGGUGUACUGUGGUUUGGAAAAAGGAUAUGUGUUCCUAAAGUGAAGGCUAUUCGUGAUAUGAUUCUGAGAGGGGCUGAGUCAGCAUAUUCCAUUCAUCCUGGUAGCACUAAGAUGUAUCUAGAUCUGAAAUAGAAGUACUGGUGGUAUGGCUUAAAGAGAGAUGUGGCUGAAUAUGCUGCUAGCGAGUGAAAGUUGAACAUCAGAGGCCAGCUGGACUGUUGCAACCAAUGAAGAUUCCGGAAUGGAAGUGGGAAGAAGUGGGUAUGGAUUUUAUAGUGGGUUUGCCACGUACACAGAGAGGGUAUGACUCAAUAUGGGUGACAGUAGAUCGUUUGACUAAAGUGGCUCACUUCAUACCUGUUAAGACUAAGUACACUAGAGAACGCCUAGCUGAGCUGUAUACGGAGAGAAUUGUUUGUUUGCACGGGGUACCUAAGAAGAUUGUGUCAGAUAGGGGUACUAAAUUCACAUCUCACUUUUGGAAAGCAGUGCAUGAUUCGUUGGGAUCAAAGUUGAAUUUUAGUACAGCGUAUCAUCCACAGACAGAUGGACAGACUGAGAGGAUCAAUCAGAUACUGGAGGAUAUGUUGAGAGCUUGUGCUUUGCAGUAUGGGACUAGUUGGGACAAGAGUUUGCCAUAUGCAGAAUUCUCCUACAACAAUAGCUAUCAGCAAAGUCUUAAGAUGGCACCGUUCGAGGCACUGUAUGGUCGGAAGUGCAGGACACCUUUGUUUUGGAAUCAGACAGGAGAAACUCAGGUGUUUGGGACAGAUGUGCUUAGACAUGUAGAACAACAAAUGCGGACUAUUCGGGAUAACUUGAGAGUUGCUCAAUCUAGUCAGAAAAGCUAUGCAGAUACGCAUUGGAGAGAGCUGGCUUUUGAAGUGGGUGAUUAUGUCUACCUAAAAGUAUCACCAAUGAGGAGUGUGAAGAGGUUUAAUACGAAGGGAAAGCUAGCUCCAAGGUAUGUUGGUCCGUUUAAAGUAUUAGAAAGGCGUGGAGAAGUAGCACAUCAGUUAGAAUUGCCUGAAAGUUUGUCUGGUGUGCACGAUGUGUUCCAUGUGUCUCAACUUAAGAAGUGUUUGCGUGUACCUGAAGAGCAACUACCAUUGUAAGAACUUUCUGUUAAAGGUGAUCUCACUUAUGAAGAGUACCCGUUCAGAAUAUUGGAGACAGCUGAGAGAGUCACGAGAAGUCGGGUUAUUAAAAUGUUCAAAGUGCAAUGGAAUCAAUAUUCAGAAGCGGAAGCAACUUGGGAAAGAGAGGAUGAUCUGAGAAAAUCAUAUUCAUAUUUGUUUGAGUAAGUUCUGCUCAAUCUCGAGGUCGAGAUUCUUUUAAGGGGGUAGAGUUUGUAACACCCAAAAUUUGAUUUUCAAAUAAUACGAUUUAAUUUGAUUUAUUUGAGUAUUUUUGUGAGCAUGUAAUAUAGUAAAUAAAUAAUUUUUAUUCAAAUUAAAAAUUCACCAUAAAUUUAGAAACAUGGUUGUGCAUUCAUGCUGGAGCAUAUUUUAUGUUUUGCUUGAUUGCUUUUGGUUAGAAAUAAUUUGUGCACAAAAAUUCAAUUUGUGAAAAUGCUUUUUGAAAAAAGAAAAUAAAAAGAAAAGGGGGAAGAACCCCAGCCAGCCCAGCCCCCUCCCUGGCCUGCUUGCUACCCCCGCCUCGGCCCAGCGCGUGGCAUAGGAUCCGGCCCAACUCGCGCGAGACUGGGCAGGCGCACCCCUUCUCUCCCUUGACCCACUGCCAGUUGGGCCCCGUUCUUCUUUCACUGACAUGUGGGGUCCACGUGACAGUGCCCUGCUUUCCUUCCUUUCUUCUUCUCGGGACCGAGCAGGACGCACAUGGAAGCCACCAAAUCCGGUUCGACCCCAUUUUCUGCGGGAUUUGAUUUCCCCGAACCCCUUUUUAGCCCUUGGAGAACCCCCGCGACCCUCUCUUCCAUAUACGCGCGUUGGUAGCCAACAUCACAGCUUCCCGUCGCCGUGUUGGAUCUCGCCGAAACAGAAACGAAACCGCCGCCGUCGCGGGUCAUCUCUGUGUCUUUUCAGCUCGAGCAAACCAUCCUAGUGAGUUCGGGGUAAGCUCCUCCACGCGUUGGUAUUCUUAUUUCGGAGUUUGGUGCUUGGAAUCGAGAAACCUGCGAACGCCGGCGAGCUUCGCGGCGGUGGCCAUGGCGCCACCGCACCGGUGCCUGCGCCUGGCCAGCCGCCGGCCACCCCCUUUUCCCAGCGCCCCCGAUGCCGUCCAACCGAAGAUCGACGGCCAGGAAACAAGGAUACCCCUUCGAGGGGAUUUUUCUUUAAGAGUCCCUGGAUGUUUUAAUAAUUUCACCGCGGUCCCUAGCGCCCUAAAGGGAAUACGUAUCCUUGGUUUAAAAGCGUAUUUCUGCCGGUUGAAGAUGAAAUACGUUUUCCAGUAUUUACCGAAUUGCCAUUCACAGUAUUUAGCCCAUAAAAUAUUCGUUUUAACUCCGUUUUUGUCCAUUCAAAUUUCGUUAGAUUCGUACUUACGAGCUCUACAUGUUAGAACUAUUUAUUCUCUAUUUUGAAACUUUUUAAUUCUGCAGUAGCAUUUAAUUAAUUAUUUCUCUAUAGGAAAUCUUAGAAAAUUCAUAUCUUCCCCGUUUUAAUUCCGAUUUUCGUGAACUUUACGUUUGUGUGAUCGUAGCGAUGCGUAGAAUAUUUUCAUAAACUUUUAUCUUUGAUUUUUCACUGUUGGUGUAAUGUUCUAAUUAUAUCUUGUUUGCUUUGUGUAUCAUUGUCACCAUUGGAUUGCGUGUUGUUGAUUGAUGUUUGGGAAUAGACGGUGAGCCGUACGUUGUUGAUCAAGACCAAGCUUUUGAAGACCAGCAGGCUCACGAGAGCUUUGAUCAAGGCAAGUAUAACUUGGGAUCAUCCUUGUUACCUAAUUAUAGUGUGGACUCUGUCCAUAUGUGUAUAGGCUACGUGUCAUUGUGUAUAGGUACUUGUUAGAUGAACUUUUGGAAGGCUUUAUAGUGAACCCUGUUGACCUCCAAAAUGUUUCCUAUUUUGGAAUUUGAUUAUACACUUGUUGUUUCUCUUAGUAAUGUAUGCAUUUAAACUAUUAAACUUCAUUUUUUCUGAAGUCGGUACAAAUUAGAUAAGGUUUUGAAAAAAUUUGACCUGCCUAUUACUUAAAACUUAAAAGUGUAGUAUAGGUGUGGAAACAUAGAAGUUUGAGUUUGGUAGCAUGACAUGAUACAUCAAUUUUAUGAACCAUGUAUACUCCAGCUUUAUAAAAAAUGUCUUGAAACUUUCAUGCAAAGCAUGCACAGCACAGCUCGGCCUUAUAGAAAUAUUAGAGUUUGUUGAUUAACUUUAGUCAAUAUUAUAAUUUUUUUUUGCUAAAAUGGAGAACAAAUAUUCAAUUACCCCUUCAAAAAUUAUAAUUUUCCAUCUACCUCCAUCAAAAUUCACUGAUUGGGCCAUAUGGGACAAAAUAAAAAAAAUGUUACCAUUUUAGAUCGAUUUGGGGUAGCCUCAUUUUAACUUCUAGUUACUUUCUACUGUCAUGCAUUAAUUCAUUUAAACAGUAGAAAAAAGCAAUCCGUUUGAAAGAUUUAAAGCUUAGUGUUUCCAUAACCUGUGAUAAGCAUGUAUAAGGUCGAGAUAAAAAAAUUGAGGUGCAUACACCAUCAAAAUGGAGGAUUCUUAGCGAUUACAUUAAGAUAACUAUCAGUGCUUGUGUAUCUACUCUGGUGGUUCUUAGCGCUGAGCGCGCAUAUUUUUUCUACUAACACCUCCUCCUUAUGAACCGAUGCUGUACUGGAGCGACGAACACAAAUCGUGCCUAGUUAUUAUUGAGGUGAGCCCACGACCGACAACUGCAUCUAAAAUCUAAUUACGACCACACGCACAAAAAAAAAAUGCUCUUUCCUUUUCUUUCCCCCCCCCCCCCCCCCAUCCUGGCCAUGGUGUUCUCUCUACGAAAAUGCGGAGCCACCAUAAAAAAUUGAUAUGGUCUCAGAUUUUUUUUUUUAUAUAUGUAAAAGUCAGGCGAACAGCUAGCUUGCCAUGUGCAGCGCGCAACAAAGUAUACGUCAUGUUGAAAGUACUGAAAAGACCAGGUAACAAACCAUGCACAACGACUUGUGGGUACCAAGCUACAAUUCCGCACCCUGGUUUUUUUAUCUGAUACGAAAGCCAGUAUAGCUGUUUCCAAUUUUUCCACAGCAACUUCUGCACCCAGGCACAUGGUCCUGUUUCGUUCCUUAGGUCUGUAUCCAAAUCGCUGUCACAUGGAUCGUCCGUUUGCUGCUAUUCUCCACCUUCUGAUCUGCACCGAUAUUAUCCGGACUACGACACCUCCGGAGUGUACAUUCCCCCACGUCCCACCUGGUACAAAUACUUUGAGAAAACAGCGCCGCAUCCAUCAAAACGUGCCUGUUUAAAUCGUUAGUACGAAAAAAUCAGCAUGCUAAUCACAAGGAUCAAAUUAAAUGCAAACUAAUUUUAAAACUAAUUACAAAAGCGAUGACAACUUAGCGAGACAAAUCUAUUAAUCUUAAUUAGGCCAUGAUUAACAUAUGUUGUGCUACAUGCUAAUCAAAGGCCAAUUAGAGCAACUCCAACAGUUUGGAUUUUUUAUUUGGUAAAACAUGAAGUUUGCUAACUCACAAAUAAAAAUGUCAAAGCUAAAGAGAGUUCGUCUCCAACCAUUCCCCAUAAUUAUUUUGCAAAAAAUAGAAUUAUGGACCCACUUGUUGUCUGCGCUUUUUUUCCUCAUGCACCGCUGCCAGCUCGCGCGUUUUUUGUUUCCCUUCGCCAGUUCGCCUGGUCGUCGGCGAUUGCAUCUAGCUGUAUAGGAAGCCACGUCUAGGCUAGCUAGCAGGCACGACACCGACGCAUUCCACGUCGCUGGAGACUCCACCAAGCGGGCAACUGUUGACACUUCUAACACCACUUAAGCUAAGUUGUCAUCCCUAACAUGGCGAUGGAAGUGUGGUAUAAAAACAGUCCACUAAUAAAAUAAAUAUAGGAUCCGCAAGCAUACACAUCAAAUACCAUUGUAGCACUUCACCGGAAAGUAUUCCAGAUAUCAUUAUUUAUAUUUAGCUCAAGGGAAAGAACUAAGGACUUAAACAAUAAGAUCAACUUGCAAAACAUGACUACUUAUGAGUGAUUGGGUUGCAUAGUCACAUACUUGACAUGAGGGUAAACCAUAAUAGAUAUAGGAUACAUAAAAUGUAGAAGCCUAGGGAUUAUAGAGACUAGCUAGAAUAUUAGGUAGUCGUCUAAUUAGUUCAAGAGAUAGAAAAUCCUAUAUAGUUCUAAUUUAUCAAGUCAUUCAUCUACUCUAAUGCUACAGUAUCAUAUAUAGCACAAAAGACUCUUCAUUUAUGUAUAAGGACCAUUGCUAUAAAAAGCCAAGAUAGAGUUGGACAUCCUACGCAACUGCGGUUCUACCUGUCCUACCAACGGGGGAUGGAAUACAAAGGACUCAACAGAACUGUCACUUCCGCGAUCCACCCCGCAACCCUACCAAUAGGGUGUAAUUGCAGAUAAAUGACAUCUAAGCACCAUGCUUACAUGAUAUAUAUCACCUAAGUCUCCCGCAAAGAGGGCUUAGCGCUUUGCAAACAUAUACAUAAACUCAUUAUCAAUCAUAACCAUAACAAAUGUAGAAUUAGAAUAAACUAGGAACAUAAUAAAUAAAAACAUAAUGAUAUUUAGAAUAAAGUUUAAAGAAAGAUAAUAAAUAAUACCACUCUCUGAUGAUGAAGAUCUGGAAAUUCUGAGCACAGGCGCCCGACUCUUCCUCUAUCUAAUCUAAUGCCUUGCUCUAAUGGCUCCCAGAUUCUCAGAUGAGAAUAAAAAUAUAAUUCUACUUUUCUUUCUGAAUUUUGAGUUCUCCUCUAGGGGGGCUAGGCUUGUAUUUAUAGCCCCCUAGGAAGUACCACAACCCUUAGAUCAAACCGACUUAAACGUGUGCUUAAUAUUAAUCCUCAAAGUCGGUGGACGCUAGAUCCGCGAGACAAAACCUGGUUGGUUCUUGCCCCCGGGCGGCUGCCCCUACCCCCUAGGGAGCCGGCCCCUGCCCUAUGGCACCAAAUGACUUAGACUUCGACUUCGAAACGGCUAGCUGCCGAUCAUCCAAAACCAGGCUAUAACAUUUGUUCUUGACGUCCCGCAACCUCUGCACAAAAAUUUUAACCGAGUCAUCAUUGCGUUGCCUCAGCCUUACUAAAUCAGUAAUCUUCUUCUCAUAGACUCCAAAAAAGAAGUACUUGUGGAACUGCUUCUCUAGAUCGGCCCAAGUAACUAUUGAGUUUGGAGGUAGUGAAAUAAACCAAGUAAAUGCCGAUCGUGACAAAGAUGAUGAGAAUAAACGAACUCUUAAUUCAUCCCUGUUAACAGCCUCUCCACACUGAUUGAUGAACCGAUUGACAUGUUCCAUAGUUGAUGUGUCAUCUUGUCGAGAGAAUUUAGUAAAAUCCGACACCUUGUACCGAUUUGGAAGUGGGAUUAAAUCAUAUGCAAGGGGGAUACAGUGUCCGAUAAGAAUAAGUAUUGACCUUGGGUUUUAUCCCAAACUGAUCUCUCAUUACUUCUGCUAUCUUAUCGGCCCAAUAGGCAUCGGCAUCUUGCCAAUGUAGGGGCUGUGGUUCCGGCACCUGCUAAUAAGCUUCCACAUGCCUCUGAGGCACAGGAUCUCAAGGGAACAUAGCAUUGGCCAUAGCUUGUUGGCCACCAAUCUAUUGAGCAAUGUUCAGCGGCUGAUUGGGUGGUCCUUGAUUCUGAAAACCAGCUUGCAUCUGUCCUUGCUAAAAUCCUGUAGCCUGAUGAUUUUGCUGUGUCAUUUGUUGAAAGACAAACUGCCCUGUCCAUCCAUUGUUAGCAUUCAUCGACACAGGCCCUGUCGAUGGCUGAUAAUUAGGUGUCAUCAUUGGGUUGACAUACCCUACCUGAGCCGUGAACUUCUAUUGCGUCAGCAAUAAAUCUGCCGAUGCAUUUGCAUUAGGUGUCUGGAAUGUUGGCAUCUGAAAGUUCCAAAUAAUAGGCCUUACAUUAGUAGUUGUAGAAUACUGGGGAAUCUGAGUCAUCGGCGAAACUGGAGGUGCCAAUGUCAUAGGAGCUUUCCUUGCCAAGUCAGCCACCUGAGAUGUUCUAGAUCUUUUUGCAAAAAAUUAUAGAGGCAUACCAUAUCCCCACCAAUUGGGAGGAACCUGACAGCUCUGAAAUACAGACCCCAACAUUGCCGAUGCCGAUAGAUCUGUGUUGAGUUGAAUCCGUCCAUCUGAUGUUGCUAGACUAGUUCUCAUCGGUAUAGAUUGCCCAUUACUGACCCCUAAUGUGCUUGGUGGAGAAGUAACUUCUGUGCCUAAAAUGGCCGGAGGAGCCGAUGGAGUCGUAACCGAUGAUAACCCUGGCUGAUGAUAGGCCGGGCCCAUGUAUAACGGUGGUGUCUGUCCUUCUUUGAAAGUUCUAGCCACGGUGUUGAAAACAGUAUUGGACAGUACACUGGAUUGAUUUAUCAAAACAUGAUUAAUAGCAUUGUCAACCAUAUCUUUCAAUUUACCAGGAUUGGCUUCAAACGUGAUCUGGUGAGGCAUCGGCAGUUCAAGCUUCUAGAUCACUUCGCCGCUCCUGUUGAUGCUGAAGGAUUUUAAGCAUAAUUGCUUGAAUUCCUCCAUAGCCUUUGCCAUCGCCUACUUCUACUCAUCCCUAAGAUCAGCCUCCGUUACAGCAAUGAUGUUUUCUGUGUCGAAUUUAGUAGUAGACAUAUUGAUCUUGACGAUGAAUCUGUCCCACUUGUUGUUCCAAAAGAUGUGUUGGUGCACAAGUGGAUCUGCAAACACAAAGGGCUAAUACCCGAUUCAAUCGUUAAGGCGUGCCAGCCGAUUUGACCUUACAACCGACAAAGGUGAUUACUCGAAUACUUUGGUCUCGACAACAGCGAUGCGCCCGGAUGCCAAGGCCAACAAGUAUUCACGCGGAACUCAAGAACUCAUCGAGUAUGACUCGAUGAAUUCUUAAGAACUUGUAAGUAAAAGAAAAGGUCCGAGUUGACGAACCCGUCGAAAAUGUAGAUGCAAAAGUAGAUGUAAAAGUUGUGUGUGAUAUUGAUUGGAUUGUUUCUUACAUUGCUAGUAGGCCUAUAUUUAUACACUAUCCUAAAGAGUCACAACUAGAAAUAUCUAGGAUUCUAAUUCCAAAUCAAACAGAACUUGUACAUAAAAUAAACUCUAGCAAUUACGGAAAAUAACAAUUUAUCUAUCCUAGGUGAUCGGUACACCACCACUGUUCCUCUGAUGAUUCUCAUGUCUUCCUUCACCAUCAUGGGCAUAUCAACCUCCAUCAGCAUCAACAAUCAUAAACAUCAGCCAUCGUCACCGAUCAACUACUGUUCCUGGACUUAACCAUACCUUGCUCCUACUGCUUCAUCACCGGUAUCAUAAGCCAUCGGCAACUCCCUUGUCGACCAGUCAUUACUUUUCCAUCUGCUGAUCCAAGCUUCAUUAACCUUCUUGACACGUGUCUAAAAACGGUGUCAACAACUAUCCUAAAUAUACUUGAGAGUUAACUCCCUUCCUACUGUGGCCGAUAGGUGAAAAGGGUGGUGUGAAACACUUCCCUAGGCAGCUACCAUGCAGGCCAACUAUUAUUUGCAUCUUGCCUAACAACACACUGAAGAGAACUCCUAAUGUCCAGCAGAGGCCUGUCAAGCUUCGCUACUGGCAUUCUUCAGGUGCGACAAGAAGUCCACAAGGGCAGACUUAGUCUAGACACCACGUCUACACUAAUUCUACUAUUCUAGACCCAGCUAAGGUUUCGAGCACUUCACAAUGGGCAAAGCAAUGUGCCAGAUAGGCCGGUUGUAUACUUAAAAUAAACUAAGACAGAAAGUAAAUACUGGAAGUACUCAGAUGAAAGGCAACUAGGUCUACACUAAUUCUACUAUUCUAGACCCAGCUAAGGUUUCGAGCACUUCACAAUGGGCAAAGCAAUGUGCCAGAUAGGCCGGUUGUAUACUUAAAAUAAACUAAGACAGAAAGUAAAUACUGGAAGUACUCAGAUGAAAGGCAACUAGAAGGAAGACUUACUAGAAGACAAGCAUCCGCUGAGGCGCUCCUGGAAGAAGACUUCCGACAAGCCGGGACUCCUCCUCAGGGAACUCCUCACUCUUUUCCCUCUAUUCUCACACUUAGCUAAGAGUAGCUCUUCCUAAAAUACAUCAUGCUUAACUAGGCUCGCUAAAGGGGUAUUUAUAGGGGGAGAUGGAGUAGGGGCUACUCCAGCACCACGUUAGUGAUCCACGUGCUCCUUCUUCUCCACUAUUGGAUCAAACUGACCUUGGGAAUGCCAUAUGAUCAAUGGUUGGGAAUUUCCAUCACAUGUUCAUCAUGGGGAUGUUGGUGGGAGUGAACUGACUCAAGGUGGGCCCACAUCAAAGGUCGGUCGACCGACCUAUUACCUCCAUGUGGGUCCCACCAAUCUUCUCGAAGAUGUUGAUGUCGGUGGGAGUGUGGGCCAGGUGGGGGCCCACCAAAUGUAGGUCGGAUGACCUACACUAUGGGGGGUCGGCCCACCACCUUGCUCCACAUGUUGUCCCCACUUGUCAUCUUCAAUGUUUUGUUGAUAUGUGGUGGUUUUGGUUGUUAACCAUCUUUGCUUCAUUUGAGCAUGAUUAGGCUUGAUUAGUGGCUAUUUGCACCUGCAUCCAAAUAAUGACAUGUACAUGUGGAGCCAAGUGAAUUGUACCUAUGUCACUACUUAGUUGCUUGAUGUUGUCCCCAAAACAUAACCUUUGUUGACGCUUUUAGUGGUCGAAAAUCAUAGUGAAAAUACCGUGAACAGAUGGUUCCCAUAAAUCAUUUUAAGGCCAUUUUUGGGAUCUCUCAUAAUUAAAUUAGCACUCUUAAACAUAUGCUCACCUAAAAUAGAUCUUUCAUCCUAGAUGUACUCUACUUCAUUUGUUUCAAGGAAACCUAGAGAUUCAGCAAUUCUGGUGAUAAGUGAAGUAAAGCAUAGGGGCAUGCUUGGUGCAAUGGAGGAAAUCUAGAAAGGUACUAGCUACUUCAUAGGUGAAAAUUUGAUUUUGUUUACCAUGGCAUAAAGGAUUUGCAAUUCUUUACAGCCUAUAUCAGCCAUGCUAGGACCAGGGAAGAGAGUGACUAAGAUCCAAAUGUACAUGAAUGUUAAGGUUGGGUUAUGGAUUUGGACAGGUGUACAAAUAGAGAGAUUAUUGGAGCAAGUAAUCAACUUACAUAACAUAGCUAAGUCAAAAUUUUGCAAAGCAUGAUCUAUGUCUAGCUCACAAUCUUGAUCAAAGCCUAGACACGUACUUAGCUCACUGCAAGUUAAACUGUAGUCUUUGUUGAACAUGCGAAAAGUUACUACCGUAUCGUUCGAUUUUAGUGUGGCAAGAAAUUCUUGAGAGUGUACUUUUACACCAAAUUCUGGAACUUGCCAAAAUCCACCACAACCAAUGGCAUAAGAGACAGUAGGAAAGUCGGUGCUCAUACCUGAUUGGUCCAAGAGUUUAUCGUCAAAGACAGCUGAGUGGUUGAAGCCGCAAGUUCAAAGGGUGUAGAGCUUCCCUAGCUCUUCAUGAGUGAGCAAGAGGUUGUCGUGGGGCUCCAGUAUCCUAUCAGCGGGAAUGAAGGGAACAACUGUGUGCAGUUAUUCCUCCUCCACCCUCUCAUGGCUCCUACUCUCGAAGUGGUGAGAGCUCGAGGAGGAGCCAUCACCCUUCCUCUUUUUGGUGAGCUUGGCGGAGAUGAAUUUCUUCAUGCUAGCUUCACAAGUGAACAGACAAGACCAAGCUUCCUACUAUACUACUAUGCAGAAGGGAAAUGUUUUUUGGGUUUAUUUCUACUACUACGCUAAGCUUGAGAAGGCUUGGAAUACUAAAUAGAAGAGAGAAGGCCAAGUGAGCUCGAGAUGAUUCUGCUGGUUUUGGUGUGGGAUUGAGCUCACAUUGGGGUGCUAUUUAUAGGGGUGAGAUGGCAUGGCAAGACCCCCAUAGGGUAGGUCAGCCGACCGGGGUUCACCCCCUUUGAAGCAUGCCUUCAACUUUGGAUAGGGAAUCUAGCCUCUUGCUUGCAAAAAGUCACCAAGUGGAACCAAAAUCUUGGUCGGUCGACCAUGACUUUUGCCCCCCACCACUUUAGUCAAGCUAUGUUGUGUUGUCUAAUAAAGAUGGUGGUGGUGGUGACCUAAAGUUGCUGUUGGUUGCCUCAGAUUCACAUGUUUAGUGUUUGGUGAAAGAGAAAAGGAGAAAGCAAAAGAGGGGACAAGCGCCAAAGUGAUUCCCACGGAUCAUGGGGACCCUUAAGCAUGCAUUUUUGCUCCCUAUGCUAGAUUGGCUAUUGGAAUGUUCCCUAAAGCAUCAAAGUGCUUAAAGUAGCAUCCUAAGCUAAAGUCAUGAGCAUUGGACCGUCUCACCUUGAAUUCUGGCUAGUGUGUUAACCAUGGGAUCCUUUGACAUCAUCAUUGGAAGGUAGCUGGAUGCCUGGUGGCACCAAGACCAAGUCGGUCAACCUGCCCUUGGGGGCUCCAGGGCAUCCUUUACCCCUCCUAGGAUUAAUACUUCUAGCCACAGUGGAGGGAGAGGUGGUGGACCCACAAAGCCAACUCGGGCGACCUGGCAAUGGUGGCCCUACCAGCUCACCUUUUCUCCACUCACUCUCCUCAAGAUUUGUUAUUUAUAUCUAUAUUAUUUGGUCGAAAUAAAAAUUGCCUUUUUUUAAGUAAGCAUGCAAUUGAAAAGCAAAAUUGAAAUGCAAAAAUUAAAUAUGAGAUAACUACUGACGUACCUGGUCAGCGGAGGGCUCCAUGUUUUAGGUCCAUAGAGUAGGACCUCUCAGACAGGUUUCAUUCUAUGGACGCCUCGGUUGGUCCCGAAGACGGGGUCCGUGCAGGCAUCUCCUUCUCCCGCCAUUCCUUUUUGGGAUGUUCUACUUACUUUGCGGGUUCCUCCUUCUGUUCGGCAUUAUUGGCUGACUUGCCUUUGUUGUACCUCUGGUGGAAUUUGCCGCGAGGUUUCUCCUCUGGUUUCGUGUCCUUCGGCUGCAUGUUAGUUUUAUAGCCACAGAAAAGACAUUUAAUCCUCUUACCUGCGAACUGUAGAUGGAUCUAGCCAGACCCAACGUAGAUGACAGCGUUCACCGUGUUCAGGAAUGGCCAUCCCAAUAUGACGGGGACGUCGAUGUUUGCCCCAAUGUCGAGGAUGACAAAAUCGACGGGGGCAUAUUUGUUGACGGUCCUUAAGUACCAAAUAUAAUCAGCAAGUAAACAAAUAAAAGGAUCCAAAUACAACCAACAUCUAAACUUAGGGUUUAUCUGACAGAAUUCGAUGAGUUUUGGUGUUUGUCUAUUUUCUGCAGGGGGUUAUCAGGAAAUAAGGAAGAAAGGCCCACACGUCGAGAUUACAUAGAGAUAUCAACGUGCCGCGCAAUUAUAUUACAUCUAGAAGACUCUAGAAGCCACGGGAAGGAAGCGGAGGCCGAACGGAACCUGGCCCUGGGCCCCCACCCAGUUGACCUGGGCGCCCGCCCCCUCCUGGAGUCCAAACAGGACUCUCUUUCGUGAUCAACCUCCACCGACCUAAAGAAUCAAGGAUAACUGUUCAAUCAAUGUCGAUUUGAUCCGACGGCCUAGAUUCACUUGAGGGGACUAUAUAACCAGACCCCCUGGCCCCUGGAGGAGGCACCCCUUGAUCAUUAUUCAUUAUUCAUUAUUCAUAAACAAAGCAAAAGCUAGGGUUUGGAGAUUAGAGCUCUCCUCUCAUCUCUAAACUAGAGUAGAUCUAGAUAGUAGCAAGAUGGAGAGCGAAGGAGGAUUAGAGGAGAGGCCGGCCUGUCGGUUCUUCCUCCAAUUGUACUUCGUCAUGAUCAAGCUCUAAUCAAGCUUGCUCAUGGGAUGACUCUGGUAAUCUACUUCUAAUUCAUUAUGCAAUUACUAAUCAUGUAUGUUUUGGUUCACAACUCUUUUGAGUACUUCUAAUCUAUAGGAUCCUAUAGGUUAGAGUUGUAGUAUAGGUGUAAGCGUGGUGCUUAGACCUAGAUUACUUGUGGAUAUCCCCUGUCUAGCUGGAUCAUGUGGUAGGCCACGUAGGUGAUAGUUACGUUGGUCCCCUAUAGUCCACCUCUUGUUAGCAGGACAGGUAGGGUUUAUCGGCCUAUGGCUAAGCAUCCUUUGUGGUGUAUUCUUAUCACGUGGUUCGUCCCAGACAUAGACAUACCCCUUUGAAGUAGAGAAACCAUAGUUAUCCUCUGUAUUCUGCUACCAUCGCCCAUAUAUUAGAUUGCUCUACUCUUUGUUCACAUAUUAUCACUCACUGUUAUCUUACCUUUAAUAUUGUUCUUAUUCAAUUCUACCAUCUUUCCUAUUUAUACUUAUCUAUCUAUCUUGGUUAAGUUAGAGCGUAGUUGGUUCCCCCGUUUCCCUGUGGAUACGAUAAAACCUUUAACCGGGUAAAAGCUACAACGGUAUCCAUGUGCUUGCGGAUUAUCUGUGUGCGUAUAAAUACCAUAGUACACUCUAGUGCCAUGCUGGGGAUGACAAUCUAGUAUUCAACUGGUGUUAGCAAGUGUCAACAAGCAUUUCUGGCGCUGCUGCCAGGGAAACGGUUGCUGAGUUGACAACGAACUAGCUUAAUCAUUUUCUAAAAAGUAAAAUAUAUAUAUAUAUAUACUUUUCCUUUUAUCUUUUGCCUUAUCUCUGCUAUUCUUUGUUCUUAUCUAAUCCUUGAUCUCUGGUCUAUCAUGAAUUCAAACAUGUCUAUCUAUGAAUUUCAUAGACCUACAGGCACACAUCUCGAACCACCAAAAUCUUCAAAGCCUAUCAUAGCAUCUAGUUUUGAGAUAGACCCCGAAUACAUAGAAUUUGUUCAAAAACAACCUUUCUCAUGAGAAGGUGAGGAAAACCCAUACACACACCUAAGAGAGUUUUAUCGAGUCUAUGACCUCCUUCGCAUAGAAGGCAUGUCCGAUGAGACCCUUAAAUGGAAGCUCUUUCCGUUCUCUUUAAUAGGAAAAGCUAGACAUUGGUACAAACUCAAAGUAAGAAGUGUUCAUGGAGAUUGGAAGGAGUUAUAUAGUAGUUUUCUUUCUAAAUAUUUCCCAAUCUCCAAAGUGGUGGAACUUCAGCAUGAGAUUCUUUCUUUUAGACAACUGGAAGAAGAAUCUCUUGGAAAAUCAUGGGACCGCUUUAUUAACCUUACUCUCACUGGCCCAAAGCUUUCUAUUCCACAAGAAGUUCUUCUAAUUCACUUUUUUUGAGGGCCUUAGUAUGUUAAAUAAGCAAACCCUUCAUGCGGCCUCUAGAGGAUCUUUCCACCACCUGUCCGCUAGUGAAGCUUGGAAUUUGAUUGAUUUAAUGAGCGGAAAGUCUCCUAGCUUUUAUAUCCCUGAGAAAGAGACAGAAACAGUUCGUAGACAAGAAAAAGAAGUUUCGAUAGCCAGAUCACAACCACUUCAAUUCCAAACUUUAGCUAUCGAUCCUAAACCAUCAAUACCCCAAAAUUCUCCAAGGGAGGAAGGAAUUACGACCUUAAAUCUUUCAGAUGUUGAUGGUUUAGACUUCUGGUUCCAUUAGAGACCUUCAAGCAAGGAUAAUUCAAAUCCUCGCAAUAAUGGUUCUCUUAGAGAAUGUCCUAGUUCCUAUUAUGAAGAAGUCGAGGAUGACAUAUCAAGUGAAGGAGAGCUAAGCCAUAUAGAAAAUUCUAACACCUCCCCUUUCCUGAUCACAAGUUCCAAAUGGCUAGAAUGCAUAGAAUGGAUGGAUAAGGAAGAAGCUUUAAUGAAUUCUGACUUUGGCUCAAUUUCAAAUGGUGAGUUCUUGACUCCCUUUGAAGAUGAGAUUCAUCCAACUACAGAAGAGGACAUAGUUGAGACCAAUCUAGGACAAACUCCGAACAUUCAGAUUGGAGACGAAGAUAACAUUAACGAGCAUGGAAUUUAUUUCAUAGCCACUUAGUUUGCUCCAUGCUCAUAUGCAACAUCUUCCCAAUCUUGGUCUCUCCAACAUCACCACAUUUGAGAUCUCCAACCCCCUCUUCGUUUCUAUUUAUAAAAACAUUAAAAGGGUGGUUGUCGAUGCAUAUGUCUAUAAUAAAUAUUGCAGAUCUCGUUGAGUUGAUCUUGAUAUAGGUCAGUGUUGGAAGGGAAACCACUUCGCCGACAUAAAUUGAUGGUUUCCCAAGGACAAGCUUAGUGUCCUAAAAUAAGCACUGAUCAGAUCGUAACAUGAGCUUUUUACAACAGUACCUUAUGUAUUGAGCAUAUAAGGAUAAUUAUAAAAUAUUCCUUCAGGUAUUCUUGUCACUAACCUUUCUAGGAUUGGAGCAAGAAGAUCCGAUGAAUGACAAGCACAAGGUAUGUCCAACCGAUCAUCAUACAACAUUGAAUUAAAUUCUUCCAAACUUGAAUUUUGCAAAAUUCAAGCUUGGGGGAGUACUUUACAUAAAAAUAUCCUUUGCCAUGUUGCUAUGUUGGUUGUCCCUACCUUUGAGACAUGCUCAAUUUGUUAAAUACUAAUCACACUACUUCAUCUCCACUUGAUUAGAUCUCUAUAAAUGCUCUCAUGCUACCUUUAUUUGCUUUAGUAUAUGUCUAGGUUUGGAGUAGUUUCAUUUAUCUCUUAAAUAAGCAUGGUGCUUAGUUUAGGAAUGAUGAUCUUAGUUCCAAGGGAUUUUAAAUUAAGCAUGGUGCUUAGGUUAAAAUGCCCUCCUAAAUCAAAUCAGACAUGGUGUCUAGGUUGAUUUUUGAGCCGAAAGUAUGCUAUAGUAGAUAUUGGAUAUUUUGUUGGACUAACCCCUGCAGGAAAACUUUCAAUAUCGACCUGGGAAGUCCUGAGAUAAACUCACAUCAGAGACAAAGAGAGAGACACAUGAAGUUUAACAAUUUACACAAGGAAGACGUAGCUCAUAAGAGAUGAUCCAUGGAGGGUGCUACAAACACGAUGCACAACCGCUAAGAAAGGAAAGCUUCCACAAGGUGAGACUGUACCAUCACUCUUCAAUUAAGGUAACACCUUAAGGUACUUGACUAUCACUUUUAUAAGCUUCUCCUUGGUUCUGGCGUUCAUAUGAAUAAAAGAGACAAACAUGUAUGAUUUAUAACUCCAAAUUAACCAACCCCACUGAUUCAAUAUGUUUAGUCCCUUAAUCUUUGAUCCCCACACUCCUAGUCAUAUGAGCUAAAAUGUUGCACAUUUAAUCUUUGGGAAGAUAUAAAGAAAAAGACAUAUAUAUAGAUAGAUUAUCUUUCUAUUAGGUUGAGCGAUCUGAUCCGGCAAAUGUUUUAAAUGCUACACUCAUGAACUUAUCAUUCAUCAACUUUGUCUUGCUCACCAUGCUUAAGGUUAGAGAAGAACAAAUACACUUUUGGUUCUGUUGGUGUUUUCCACCAAUAGGGCCCAUGCACUUGAUCUCUGCCUUGUCUCUAUGAGCAGGUACACUACGAGCACAAACACACGGAGCAAGAUACUGCCAACACCGCACUUCGAACUACUGGGCAAACGAAGAACAUGGGUGACACCGUAUUAAGAGGUGCAGACGUCAAGGUCCACACCUGAAUCAAAUGACACACCUAAAGAAUGAACACGGUGAGAAGUCUUAUUCAGAAGACUUAAAACAUUAAAUCCUCGCCGAAAGGUAAAAUCGGUAGUUAUCCAUAUUUAUCCUUUCUGCAUUCCCUUUUCCCUUUAAUUAUUUACUUUCCUUAAAUAGCUUAUUAGUUAAUCAUGCUAUCUUGAAAAGAAAAUAAAAGUGUUAAAAAUACUAAGCCCCAUGUGAGUAUGCUCGUGGCAUGAAACCCAUAAGUACAUUCACUGUGGUGGUGUAAAAAUAAAAUAAAUAUAUUCUUGUCCUAUAGAAAUGAAAAUAUAAAAAUAAAUUUAUGAUCCUACCAAAGAGAGUAAUAUUUAUUAGAGGAAGCUCAACAUGAUAAAGGCGAAGAGAUUUUAUGCUAACACUUAACCAGUUCCACAAAGCUGUGUUGUCUAUUUGAGCUCCACAUAAUUCAAGGAUCAAAGAAGACUAGUAGACGGAGGACAUUCUAAUCGCUGUCAGGGUGCUGCCGACAUUCAAAUACACCUCCGCACAGCUACAUCAGAAGAAAUUACGUCAAAAUCUAGCUUGGGGGAGAGCACCCCCAUUUAUCCAGCUAAGUGUUUCUACGCAUGUUUAUACUUUACUCAAAUAAUAAAUAGAUGCAUAAUCAUAAAAAACCCAAAUAAAGAUUUUAUGCUUAUAUAUAUAUAUAUAUAUCUUUUCUUAGUUUGCUAAAUAAAUAAAUAAAUAAAGUUUGCUAUGAACUCUCAUGAUAAGCUCUCACAUGGAAAUGAUGAAUAGUUGCUCUGCCUUGACUAGUUCUCAAAAGUGAAAUCUCUCUCAAGUUUAGGUAUGACUGUUAUGAAUUAAAAUUUGCUCUAAACCUAAACUUGUGGGAAGAGUACUUGAUCUAAAGUCUAAGUCGUUGACGGAUAUGAUAUGGGGAGGUUGAGCUGCUGUUUAUCUGUUCCUAGAGAUGCUAGAAUUCUGGAGAAUUUUAUCUUUGAAAAUAAUUAAAAUGUUGCAUGAUGAGUUUCUAUAUGAUGAGAGUUUAAAAUCCUACCACAGCCAUAUAUACAUGCUUAUUAGACUAUGAACCAUACAUUUACUUUUUACUGCUUAUGAGCCUUGAGUGUGGUCAAGCUGUGUAGACCCUUAGGAGCUUGUCAUGCGGUUAAAAUCAAGAUUCACUUGCACGUUCACUCAUACAUGCUGCUUCUACUCCGGAAGUACGCAUCCACAUACAUCCACUCCUUUCCAUCUCGAGAUUCAACUAAAAUUAUUCUACUCCUAUCCAGGAGAGAAUAGCCAAAAACAUUAUCCUAUCCCUAUUAUUCCCUGUGAAAUAAAUGCUCUUGAUAUUUUGGCUACUACCAUUUGCUACAUUAUUCUAGGAGGAUGAGUGCUCUGAAAAAAAGAAAAGAAAAAAUAUAGGAGGAACUAAAAAUGGGCAAGUGCCUGGAACCUCGAAGAAAAGAAAAAGUGAGACGAGAGGUAAAAAUGGACAAGUGUCCGACAGUAGAAUUAGGGGUACAAGAUACCCACCUGAGAAAAAAAUAUAUAUAUAUAGAGCAUCUCAUUCCCCUCAAAAAGCUUCAAAGUGCAAGAAAGGUAUGUAUCCCCUCAAAAGAGCAAAAGUAGAAUUAGACUUUCACCAAUGUUUUCACCAUCAUCACCAUACACCAUUCAUUCGCCACACAUGCACAUCUUGAUUUGACUUAUUGACUUGUUUCUCUGGAUCCAUGGUUUGACUAUGCAAUAAAUGUCUUGUAAGUAUGUAUUAGCUGUCUCCCACCUAUGAGCUCCAGAUAUCAAAACCUUGUUAGAGUAGGGUGAGAGAGAAGGCAAUAUCACUAUGCCUCAUACCAAAAAUACCACGUGCUUUGAGAGAAGGCAUAUAUCAUCACUGCUUUGGUAAGGAUCUAGAAAUACCACAAAAGAGAGAAUUGAGAGAGUCAUAUAAGGAAUCUCUGAGUUUUAUUUGAAAAUCUGCAAAAAAAACUCCAGAGCUAUAGUUGAUCAAAGAACAAGAGACAUGGUGCUUGACUUGACCGUUCUAUCUUUUAACUGCUCAAGACACAAGUGACGGUUGCAAGCCCCAUGGUGAAAGGUAAUAUGAGUAAGUUUAAAUCUUAACAGUUUACCUUAACCUAGAGAUGAGAUCUUGUUUGAACGCACGAGUACCUUUAAGGCAUAAAACCACUGCAGAAACUCUUGAGUCCAUUCUUGCUCAGGGACGAGGAAGAGGUAAGCUUGGGGGAGUUGUUGACGGUCCUUAAGUACCAAAUAUAAUUAUCAAAUAAACAAAGAAAAGGAUCCAAAUACAACCAACAUCUAAACUUAGGGUUUUAUAUGAUAGAAUUCCACGAGUUUUGGUGUUUGUCUGUCACACCCAUAUUUUAAGAACAAAAUAGGAUGCAUAAAAGACUCAUAUGUGCCCCAGAAACAGUCACACACAUAAGUAGACAAAUCUCAAAUGUACCAUUGCAGUGUUUAUUACAUAACGGAAUAUAAUAUAUCACAUAGUCUCAUACAAAAAUGAUAGCAUAAAGUAAACAACGCUCUCGACGGAAGCUCCACACAGGGACACUGUUGACUGGUUGACUCCAAACCUACUACUCAUAACGGUAGUUCUCAUUCCAGACAUCUUCAUUAUCAUAUCCUGAGGUGUUGGGAAAUUGCAAGAGUGAGCACAUAUCGUACUCAACAAGUAUAACCAGGGGUUCAUGAGGCUCAAAUAGCUGACAAUGUUUUGACUGCAUUUAGCUUUUAAUGGUGGAUAGCAUAUUCAUUAUUAAAUAGCAAAUGUCAAGGUAGCAUAAAUAAUCCAUUAAUCCCAUGAUCAAGUGUAAGCAUAAUUUAUUCACAGCAUAAACGAUAAUCAAAUGAACAUAAUAACAUAAUAAGCUCAUCAUCUUAAUGUAGACGUCCCCAAGGACGCUCCUGACCGUGAGCUCGGCUAGUAUACCAGUUUUACACUCUGCAGAGGUUGUACAUCUUUACCCAUGAGUCAUGAUUUACCCUUUCGCCCAAGGUAGCUAGUCUCUUAACCCCCUUCCUAGGGAGGUCGGCAGGGAUCACUAUGAAGCCUUUCAAAAGUUUGUCUAACAUGUUAGGGCUGCAAGGUUUCCUUUGCGCGCAGAUAUAGAGCCCCCCUUCCGAUGGCACAAUGACUCGCAGCCUAUACACAUACAGAUAGAGGCCACACUAUACCCAAAACGGUUCAGCCCCUCUGCCCUUUCGGGUAACCUCUAACAAGCUAGAAAAGGGCUUCAUACUGAGCUAAAGCCAGAUCCAUUAUAGCCCUCAUGGUUGCGCUGUUAUCUCGGGUGAUCACGUACAGACAAGAUCUCAUACAGUUAUUUGUCAUUCUUUUAUGUUCAUUGCAUAGCUUUUAAUCAUCUUACAAGAUCAUGGAUUAUAUCAAGCACUAGCACAUCUACACCAAAUGCAUAUCAAGUUGGUAACAAGGUAUCCAGGUAACAAUCAUCUAUGAUUUUGCUAAGGUCGACAAGGUGAUAGCAUGCAUAUGAUAUAUAUGUGUGGUUAUAAGUGAAUAGGUAACAAGGAUAUUCCCAAGUUAUACUUGCCUUGAUCAAAGCUCUCCUGAGCCUGCUGGUCUUCAAAAGCUUGGUCUUGAUCACCAACGUACGGCUCACCGUCUAUUCCCAAACAUCAAUCAACAACAUGCAAUCCAAUGUAGACAAUCAUACACAAAGCAAACAAGCUAUGAUUAGAACAUUACACCAACAGUGAGAAAUCAAAGAUAAAAGUUUAUGAAAAUAUUCUACGCAACGCUACGAUCACACAAACGUAAAGUUCACGAAAAUCGGAAUUAAAACGGAGAAGUUAUGCAUUUUUCAAGAUUUCCUAUAGAGAAAUAAUUAAUUAAAUGCUACUGCAGAAAUAAAAAGUUUCAAAACAGUAAACUAAUAAUUCUAACAUGUAGAGCUCGUGAAUACGAAUCUAACAAAAUUUACAAAUUCAAUGGCAAACUUGUAAAUAACAGAAAGCGUAUUUUGACUCAGCCAGCCAGGAUUACGCUUUCGCAGUUGGAAAGCGAAGUCUGCUCAGGGCGCCAAGGACUGCGGAGUAAUUACUAAAACAUUCUAGGGACUCUUUAAACAAAUUAUCCCCCCGAAGGGGUAUCCUGUGUUUUCGGCCGUGGAUCCCCCAUCCAACGGUCACGAUUUACCCAGGGGAGCUCGCGGUGGCCGGCCGGCCGGAGUUAGGGCCGACGCGGUGGCGCGCCAUGGCCAGGGAGGCCGAGCUCGCCGUCGACGAUGGAUUUCGCGAUUCCGAGCGCCAAACCACGAAACAAGACUACCAGGAGAACGAGGAGCUCAUUACGAACUCACCAAAGCACUUGGUCCGGCCCGAGAGGGAACCAGGAGUGUUUGCCACGGCGACGGGUUGAAUUUCAUUCGGCGAGAUCCAAAACUCUGUGCUUGAGGCGGCUAGGGCUUCCCGGGGUGCGAUAGAUGGCAAAAGGGGGUCGCGAGGGUGACCACCAGGCUUUAUAGGACGCGGUUUGCUUUCUUGGCAAGGAAAUCCUUGGAUUUCGGGAUCGGUUCGGCCGGAGAAAGAAACCUGCUCGGUUUUGACGUGGAGAAGAAGAACAGGGCGCUGCCACGCGGGCCCGGGGUGUCAGCGGGAGGAAGAGGGGAAACGCGCCUGCGCUGCUGGGCUGGCCGUGCUGGUUGUCGCCGUUGGGCCGUGGGGGGGGUGGUUAUGGGCCGCGCGUAGGGGGAAAAAGGGAACUGAGAGUGCUGGGCUGCGGGGGUGGGCAGGCAGGCCAGGUAGGGAGUGGGCCUCGGCCAGACCCAGGGGUUGUUUCCCCUUUUUUUCUGUUUUUAUUUUCCAAAACAUUUUUCAAAGCAAAUUUUGAACAAAAACAAAAAAUAAAAACAGAAACACACAACACAAAAUAAAUGCUAUUCUCAGCAUGAAUGCAAAAGCAAGUUGCUACCCUUAUGAUAAAUUUUAUUCUCCAUAAAAUUAAUUGCUAGAUUCAUAGCAAGUUGCUAGAUUCAAAUGCUCAUAAAAAUACUUAAAUAAAUCAAAUUAAAUACUAUUAUUUGAAAAUCAAAUUUUGGGUGUUACAAACUCUACCCCCUUAAAAGAAUCUCGUCCUCGAGAUUGAACGGUGCUUACUCAAACAAGUAUGAGUAUGAUUUCCUCAGAUCAUCCUCUCUUUCCCAUGUUGCUUCGGCUUCGGAAUACCGAUUCCACUGCACUUUGCACAUUCUAAUCACCCGACUUCUGGUGACUCUCUCAGCUGUCUCCAAUAUUCUGACCGGAUACUCUUCAUAAGUGAGAUCACCUUUAACAGAAAGCUCUUCCAACGGUAUUUGCUCCUCGGAUACACGCAAACACUUCCUAAGUUGUGACACAUGGAACACAUCAUGCACACCAGAUAAACUUUCAAGCAAUUCUAUAUGCUACUUCUCCACGCCUUUCUAAUACUUUAAACGGACCAACAUACCUUGGAGCUAGCUUUAACUUCGUAUUAAACCUCUUCACACUCCUCAUUGUUGAUACUUUUAGAUAGACAUAAUCACCCACUUCAAAAGCCAGCUCUCUCCUACGCGUAUCUGCAUAGCUUUUUUAACGAGAUUGAGCAAUUCUCAAGUUAUCCCGAAUAGUUCGCACUUGUUGUUCUGCAUGUCUAAGCACAUCUGUCCCAAACACCUAAGUUUCUCCUUUCUGAUUCCAAAACAAAGGUGUCCUGCACUUCCGACCAUACAGUGCCUCGAAUGGUGCCAUCUUAAGACUUUGCUGAUAGCUAUUGUUGUAGGAGAAUUCUACAUAUGGCAAACUCUUGUCCCAACUAGUUCCAUACUGCAAUGCACAAGCUCUCAACAUAUCUUCUAGUAUCUGAUUGAUCCUCUCAGUGUGUCCAUCUGUCUGUGGAUGAUACGCUGUACUAAAAUUCAACUUUGUUCCCAAAAAAUCAUGCACUACUUUCCAAAAGUGAGAUGUGAAUUGAGUACCCCUAUCUGACACAAUCUUCUUAGGUACCCCAUGCAAACAAACAAUUCUCUCCAUACACAACUCAGCUAGGCAUUCUCCAGUGUACUUAGUUUUAACAGGUAUGAAGUGAGCCACUUUAGUCAAACGAUCUACUAUUACCCAUAUUGAGUCAUACCCUCUCUGUGUACGUGGUAAACCCACUAUAAAAUCCAUACCCACUUCUUCCCACUUCCAUUCCGGAAUCUUCAUUGGUUGCAACAAUCCAGCUAGCCUCCGAUGUUCAACUUUCACUCGCUGACAAGUAUCACACAAAGCAACAUACUCAGCUACAUCUCUCUUUAAACCAUACCACCAGUACUUCUGUUUCAGAUCUAGAUACAUCUUAGUGCUACUAGGAUGAAUGGAAUAUGCUGACUCAUGAGCCUCUCUCAGAAUCAUAUCACGAAAAGCCUUCACUUCAGGAACACAUAUCCUUUUUCCAAACCACAAUACACCAUUGUCAUCUAUUCUGAAUCCUGGUGCUUUUCCUAGUACCACAUUCUAUGCUAUCUCCUUUAGUUUCUCAUCUUCCAUCUAUCCUUUCCAUAUCUCUUCCUCUAGAGUAAGAGUGACCUCAAUUUCCAUAGCAUUUACUACAAUUCCCAAGUUCAAGUAUGCAAAUUCAGCACACAACUCCUCAGAUUCAGGUGUUGCCCGAAGCUCAUUAGCAUAUUUCUUUCUGCUAAGUGCAUCAGCCACGACGUUCGCCUUUCCAGGAUGAUAAUGCACUUCCAAAUCAUAAUCCUUUAUCAAUUCCAACCAUCUUCGUUGCCUCAAGUUCAGAUCUGUCUGGGUGAAGAUAUACUUCAAACUCUUAUGAUCAGUGUAUAUGUCACUCUUAUGCCCAAUCAAAUAGUGUCUCCAAAUCUUCAGUGCAUGAACCACAGCUGCUAAUUCUAGAUCAUGAGUAGGAUAAUUCAGUUCAUGUUUCCUCAACUGUCUAGAUGCAUAAGGAACAACUCUACCUUCUUGCAUAAGAACACAACCCAAACCCCGACGAGAAGCAUCACAAUAGAUAGAGAAAAUCUUACUCAGAUCUGGCAAUACCAACACAGGUGCAGUAGUCAAUCUCUUCUUAAAUUCCUCAAAACUAGCUUGACACUUAUUAGACCAUACAAACUUAGCAUUCUUCUCCAACAGAGCAGUCAUAGGCUUUGCAAGUUUUGAGAACCCUUCAAUGAAUCUACGAUAGUAAUCAGCUAAACCAAGAAAACUGCGAAUUUCACUUACAUCUGUAGGUGGUUUCCAAUUCAGCACAUCUUUCACCUUACUAGGAUCCACUGCAAUACCACCAUUAGAGACAACAUGACCAAGAAAAGAAACUUCUUCCAACCAAAACUCACAUUUACUACGCUUAGCAUAAAGCUUAUGUUCUCUAAGUUUCUGUAAGACCAAUCUCAAAUGCUCAGCAUGUUCUUCCUUGGUUUUAGAGAAUACCAGAAUAUCAUCAAUAAAGACCACCACAAACUUAUCAAGAUACUCCAUAAAUACUUUAUUCAUCAUGUACAUAAAGUAAGCUGGUGCAUUGGUCAAACCAAAAGACAUAACUGUAUACUCAUACAACCCAUACCUUGUUGUAAAAGCUGUCUUUGGUAUAUCUGAAUUUCGAAUCUUCAAUUGAUGAUAACCAGAACGCAAAUCAAUCUUAGAGAACACACAAGCACCUCUUAGCUAAUCAAAUAAGUCAUCAAUCCUAGGCAGUGGGUAUUUAUUCUUGAUAGUGACCGAUAAUCAACGCACAUCCUCUGACUACCAUCCUUCUUAUCAACAAAGAUAACCGGUGCACCCCAUGGUGAUGAACUAGGACGAAUGAACCCUUUAUCUUGCAAUUCCUUAAUUUGUUUCUUAAGUUCUUCAAGUUCAUUAACCCCCAUUCUAUAUGGUCUUUUAGCUAUGGGUGCAGUACCAGGUAGUAGUUCAAUAAUAAAUUCAAUGUCUCGGUCAGGUGGCAUACCUGGCAAUUCAUCUGGAAAGACAUCCAGAAACUCAUCCACUACCAGAUUCUGAGGAUCAACAUCAUUAUUCAGUUGGUUCACCUUAGCUGUGAGUGGUGCUUGCACUGUUACAUCAACACUGAUUCGUUCUCCCUUUGGGGUUGUCAGAGCCACUACUCUCUCCUUGCACUUAAUAUCUGUGUCAUAUUGCUUCAUCCAAUCCAAACCCAAGAUCACAUCUAUGCCUGAUAUUCUCAUAACCAUGGGACUGAUAGGAAAAUCUACCCCCCUUAAAGAAAGAAUUGCUGAGGGGCAACACAAAGAAACUGGUAUAGUCCCACCCGGUGAAUUUACUAGCAUAGGGGUUUUCAUUGCAACUAGUGGAAAGCUAUGAACUCUAACAAAUGCUUGUGAUAUGAAUGUAUGCGAAGCUCCAGAGUCAAAAAGAACGGUAGCGGGAGUAGAAUGGACAUCAAAUAUACCAAUCAUAACUCCAGGUUCCUCCAUAGUUGUCCCUGCAGACACAUGAUUCACUCUCCCAGUGUUGGGUGUUCGAUUGUUCUCCUGGUUGCUAUUUUGCCCUUGGGAGUUCUGUGGGUUGAAGUUCUCUAGACAAUCAUAAGACAUAUGUCCCUCUUUUCCACAGCGGAAACACCUGUCAGGAGUGUUGGGAGCAUUGUUCUUCCUAGGGGUGACUUUAGGAUUCCUUGAUUGAGAUGUCUAUCGACCAUCUUGCUGCUGAUAAGAGUUACGCUGCUGAAAAUGAAAGCGUUGAUUCCCACUCUGCUAUUGAUUCCCACUCAGGCCAGGGAGGGAGUGGGCCUCGGCCAGACCCAGGGGUUGUUUCCCCUUUUUUCUGUUUUUAUUUUCCAAAACAUUUUCCAAAGCAAAUUUUGAACAAAAACAAAAAAUAAAAACAGAAACACACAACAUAAAAUAAAUGCUAUUCUCAGCAUGAAUGCAAAAGCAUGUUGCUACCCUUAUGAUAAAUUUUAUUCUCCAUAAAAUUAUUUAUUUGCUAGAUUCAAAUGCUCACAAAAAUACUUAAAUAAUUCAAAUUAAAUCCUAUUAUUUGAAAAUCAAAUUUUGGGUGUUACAUUAUCCAUUUCUGCAGGGGUUAUCAGGAAAUAAGGAAGAAAGGCCCACACGUCGGGAUUACAUAGAGAUAUCAACGUGCCGCGCAAUUAUCUUACAUGUAGAAGACUCCAGAAGCCACAGAAAGGAAGCGGAGGCCGAACGGAGCCAGGCCCUGGGCGCCCGCCCAAUUGACCUGGGCACCCACCCCCUCCUGGAGUCCAAACAGGACUCUCUUUCGUGAUCAACCUCCACCGACCUAAAGGAUCAAGGAUAACCGUUCAAUCAAUGUUGGUUUGAUCCGACGGCCUUGAUUCACUUGAGGGGACUAUAUAACCAGACCCCCUGGCCCCUGGCGCACCCCUUGAUCAUUAUUCAUUAUUCAUAGACAGAGCAAAAGCUAGGGUUUGGAGAUGAGAGCUCUCCUCUCAUCUCUAAACUAGAGUAGAUCUAGAUAGUAGCAAGAUGGAGAGCGAAGGAGGAUUAGAGGAGAGGCCAGCCUGUCGGUUCUUCCUCCGGUUGUACUUCGUCAUGAUCAAGCUCUAUUCAAGCUUGCUCAUGGGAUGACUCUGGUAAUCUACUUCUAAUUCAUUAUGCAAUUACUAAUUAUGUAUGUUUUGGUUCACAACUCUUUUGUGUACUUCUAAUCUAUAGGACCCUAUAGGUUAGAGUUGUAGUAUAGGUGUAAGCGUAGUGCUUAGACCUAGAUUACUUGUGGAUAUCCCCUGUCUACCUAGAUCGUGUGGUAGGCCGCGUAGGUGACAGUUACGUUCGUCCCCUGUAGUACACCUCUUGUUAGCAGGACGGGUAGGGUUUAUCGGCCUAUGGAUAUGCAUCCUUUGUGGUGUAUUCUUAUCACGUGGUUCGUCCCAGACAUAGACAUACCCCUUUGAAGUAGAGAAACCAUAGUUAUCCUCUCUAUUUUGCUACCAUCGCCCAUAUAUUAGAUUGCUCUACUCUUUAUUCCCAUAUUAUCACUCACUGUUAUCUUACCUUUAAUAUUGUUCUUUUUCAAUUCUACCAUCUUUCCUAUUUAUACUUAUCUAUCUAUCUUGGUUAAGUUAGAGCGUAGUUGGUUCCACCGUUUCCCCGUGGAUACGAUAAAACCUUUAACCGGGUAAAAGCUACAACGGUAUUCAUGCGCUUGCGGAUUAUCUGUGUGCGUAUAAAUACCAUAGUACACUCUAGUGCCAUGCUGGGGAUGACAACCUAGUAUUCAAGUGGUGUUAGCAAGUGUCAACAAUAUUCAUCUUGGAUUUUAACCAAGAUGUCCUUAGCGACUCCCUCCGGGAACCGAAUGGUUUGGUCCGCCAUCUGCAAUCUCAUAAAGGUUGGGAGCAAAACACACCCUAACAGAUUUUCAUGAAUUACCUUGGACAUGAUGUUGACACUUGAUCCAAGGUCAUAGAAGACGUUGUGGAAGAGUUGUUGUCUAAUCUUGCAAGUGAUGGUCGAUAUGCCUGGGUCAUCCUUCUUUGUGAUGAACGGGGUAUCAAGGAGAUAUCCCCAAUUUGAACAGACUAGGGGCUUACCAUACCUCGUAGAGACUAUUUUAAUGGACUCAAGUGGGUCCUCAGGUUUCCCUAGGAUCCUAUCUUGCUCAUAUGAUGGGACAGCUGCAGCUAAUUGAGCUAACUAUGUUUCUAACAUUUUAUUAAAGCUCAAUUGAUUCUUAAUGGCAGAAUUAAAGUUGUCCAUUUUCUCACUAAGGCUUUCUAGGAUCUUGUCAUUAGCCACAAUUCUCUUAUCGAUACUAUUAUUAAUUUUAGUUUGGCCUAGCACAAGAUCUCUAAGAGAAGGUUGGUUACCAAAGGAAUUACUAGAAUUAUUAUUGUAAGCCAUACCUUGGCCUUGGUAGAAGGGGCGUGAACUCCAUUGUUGUUGUUGGGGCCGGUUUGCGUUGUUGAAGUUGUUGUUGAUGUAGUUCACCUCCUCCUGGGUCUCGGGGCAGUUAUUGCCCGAGUGAUCAUCUUGCACCAUGGAUCAGUUUCCACGGCACGAACAACGGCAGGGGUCUGGAUGGCCUCAAUUCCCUUUUUAGAGGAAGAUUCCUCUAUUUUCUUCAUAAGGAGGUUCAUCUUGGUAGAGAGCUUGUCCACCUCAUUGAGGGCGUGGACACCUCUCUUCUUGGGCUAGAGGUGCUCCUCAUUCCAUCCUUGGUUGAUGACCAUAUUUUCAAUGAGGUCCUUGGCAUCCUUGACAUUUUUCUGCAAGAAUGCCCCUCCAGCUGAGUCAUCAAGGUGACUACGGGCCAUGCCGGUCAGCCCGUGGUAGAAACCUUGGAUAAUGAGCCAUUCGUCAUUCCCAUGAUGAGGACAGGCAUGAAUGUACGCAUUGAGAUGUUCCCAUGCUUUAGGAAUCAUCACGUCAGACUGUUGCUGGAAGCUCAAAAUCUUCCCACAUAAGGCACUGGUCUUGCCCGCUGGGAAGAACAUCUUGAGGAAAGCAUUGGCACACUUGUCCCAAGUUGUCACUUCACUCUUGUUGGUGUAGAACCACUGCUUCACCUUCCCCAAGAGUGAAAAUGGAAAAGGCGAAGGCGGAUGGAGUCCGCUGUGACGUUCUUGACGGUAAAAGUGUUGCACACCUCCAAAAAGUGUUGAAGGUGGACAUUGGCAUCCUCAUAUGGCCUCCCACAGAAUGGAUUGGCUUGCACCAUGUUGAUCUAAUAGGUUACCGAUAUGAAUCGGCACGAGGGUGGUCCGAUCUUUACCACAGUAGAUCACACGAACAAGAAUAACUUGCUACGAACAUUGGAUAACUAGCUUUAUACCUGACAAAGGUUAGAUGUGACCAAGCAACGGGGAGAGAGACACCGAAACCGCGAAGACUUCGACUCGAUCUCCGAACAACCAUAGAUCCACAAUCCAGAACUAAUCCACAAAAUAUGCGCAGCCAAACGGAAGCCGUAGAGCACGAAGUAGGGGAACCCAGAGGAAUCACUUCACAAGUCCAUGAAGAACAAGAAAGGACAAAGGUUGAGUAAGGCACUCAGCAGCGCGGCUGCAAUAUCAUGUAGUUUAUCAAAAUGAUCAAAGGUCCCUAAUAGCUUAGAGGUAGGGGAUAUUUAUACUAGUAACAACCAUGCUAGAUUAGUAUGAAAAGGAAAUGGAAUUUCCAAAGAAAGGCAAUGUGAAAGGUCCCCUCGGAAUGGAGUCCCAAAGUGGCUUCGCGUGACUGUUGGCCUCCAGAGCAGUUUCCAAUAAACUGACCUAACAUCUUAUUGGUAAGUCCAAAUGACGAACCACAAAACUCACUAGUGCAGGCCAUGGAAGCUAAACUUCAUGAGUUCUUUGGGUGUGAAAAUAGACUCCAAGAGCUUUCCGGCAAUGUAUGCCAUGCACCAUGAAACGUUGUAGAUUGGUACAGUUUUGCACGGCAAGUUGUACCAACAUUCUGUCACGAUACACUGUUGACCUUCUGAGCAGUCUUGACUAAUCCAAGUAUAACUCUUGAUUGUGAUGUCCAAAUGAGGUGAGACUUGAGGCAUUGGAAAGCAUACUCGACAAGCUUUCCAACAAGUCCUCAUGGGCCUUCAUAGCUUUUGUGAGUAAAAGGUUAUGAAGAUUUCUUUGCACUGGUCCGUUCUUGACUCUACUGGUCCGUUUUGCUAGUAUGUCAGGGACUUGCACUGAUCCAUUCUUCACUUCUUCUAUAUACCUGAGUACCAUCAAGGUACAACACUUAGGUAGUAUAUAAUUCUCAUUAAUAUUAAAAUGUAUCUCACAAAGUAGCGCGUGGACCUCCUGUUGUAGCUUCUUGGCAUGGCUUCUUAUAAGUUGACCUUAAUGUGUAGCAUUUUGACUUGAACAAGUGUCCAUAGCUGGGAUGUCCACAUCAUGAUCAGUGCAGGCUUGAGCUCAAAGGUCGCAUCGCCCAAGUUUAGGUUCGAGCCCGUAGCGACAAAGUCAGCUGACAGGGACAAGAACUCAACGAUGGUCUUUUUGGCCAUGAGUGCUUCAUCUACUCGUGUGGGACUUCCUUCCAUGAGUGGUUCGGUCUCUGAGAUGAACCUUUGAGGAGAAACCUAACGGCGUCUAGUUCUCCUCAACAAUUAAUUGCUCAGGAUCUUUGAUGAAUUUGGCGGCAAUUUAAAACCGCUCAUGCACUGUCUAGAUUAACGAUGACGAGAAACAAGACAAGUGAAGGGUAAGUACCUAACACUAAUGGAUACUUAGAUUUUAGAGUAGACCACGGAUUCCAAUUUAUUAGAGAUUCCUAGUACGACGCUUCCCCAGCAACGGCGCCACAAAAUGCUUGUUGGCAAAUCUUAACGCAUACCGGCUAGAGUAAGAUGUGACAAAUAUCUAGAAAUGGUGACGCCUAACCAACGCUGCUCAAAUGCAAGCCUGGGCUGUUACUAGGAUAGGGUGUGAGGCUACCCUGAGCAACGGCUCCAGAAAUGCUAAGCAACGCUAAACUCUAGCGGUGACGCAAGACGUACAAAGGGUAACUCUGCAAGCGCACAGGUACUGCUGUAGUACUUCAACCGUGGUGAGUAUCUGCACUGUCGUAAUUUAUAGUUCACUCACGGGAAGCGGGCUGAGACUCUCUAAUAAAUAUAUGUAUGGAUAUCCGUAGUUUGUGUCUACUCAAUCUAUGUUCAAUAGUGCUAAUAGGGGGGUAAGAAUAGCAAGAUAGAAUAAUAGAUAAGUCAGAUAAAGGUAAGUAAAGAUAACUCCUAGUGAGCUAGAUAGGUGGGAGGACAAUGAGUGAGUAAGGACUCCUAUGUAUCUAACUCUACUUCUGUGUUCUAAUCCUAAUCAAUGUAAAUGACUCAACUAGACUAGUAUCCAAACAGUCUUGUGCGGUGUGAAGUCGACAGCAAUAGGAGGACGAAACUCCUAUCCAACCGGACCUUUAUCUUAUGGGUGCCUACUGACCGUACCCGACGUGAAUAAACCUACUAGGAAGCCGAGGAGUGUCACGCUUUGCCGCCGCACGCUAACAUGUUUGAUACGGUGGCCUCCACUAAUAAGCGCUAGCCAAAGCACCUCGCUUACACUAGUCUUAUAACUUCAACUAUCACGUAAAUAGCCAAAGCCCCUAAUGGUAGUGGAACACACACAAGGUGUUGAAGACACUAAUCUAACUAAGGCAACUACACUAAUAAGACUAAGACACAACACUACUACAAGUAUAGUAAUGCACUAAGCAAUACUCAAAGUAAAGACUUGAAGUAAAUACUUAGUAAAGUAAAGAAAUAUUAUAUUAAUAUAAAGAAUGUAAUACAAGAGAAAAGGUACAGGAGCUAUACCAGACUCUCCAGAAGGCAGCUUCGGAGACACGAGCUUCGAUCGACACAACUCCAACUCCCACUUUAGACUAGAACACUACACUUGAUCUCCCUAGUGGGAUUUGGAAAUGAAAUGAUAGAUGGAAGAUGUGAGAUGGAGGACCCCUCCUUAUAUAGGGGUGAGAGAGGGGGUGCCACAUCAGCGAUCCGCGUGCUCCUUCCUUCUCCACCAUUGCAUGCAACGACCUCCCAACCGCCUUAGAUGGACGGUUGGAGCAUUUCCACAAAUGAGGAAGGUCAGUGGGAGUGAACCGACUCUAGAUGGGGCGCACAUGUAGGUCGAUCGACCUGGCCUUUGUCUCGCUCUGGGUCCCACUGACCUUCUAGAAGGUCCUUAGGUCGGUGGGAGGUUAGGCCAGGUGGCAUCACUCCAUUGGUCGGUCGGUCGACCGACAUUUGGGGCCCUGGCCUCCUGGUGGUGUCCCCACUUGUCAUGUGAAGUGUUGUCCAAAGUUCAGUCUAGUUGCACACUUGCUUACUUCCAUCUAGGCCUAAGGAUGCAUGUGCUAAGUGUUUGAACCGUUGAGAGCAAGCACACUUGGAUUCAUGGGUUGGGAUUGACUCCUUAGGGUAUGCCAUGGCUCAUGCCAUGGAGGGGAGCCCCUGGUGGGCCCAAACCCCAGUCAGUCAACCUAGGUUAUGGGGCCCACAGGGCUCAUUUCCUUCUUCCCUGCAUUGAACAAGCUAAGAAUACAAGUGGAACUUUAUUAUUGGUAAAUAUGUUCAAGUGAUGCUUAUCUUCCUCCAAUCGAGGACUGUUGACAGGCUUUUGAGUAUAUAGAACUGGGUCUUAUUUCCCGUCAACAGUCUUACCCUACUUGAAUUGAGGCCAAUGUCUGAGUGGUGUUCUGGUUCCACUGACACUGGUCAUUCCAAUUCUACUCAUUGUGAGCAAGAGAGAUGUGGACAUAGUUUUGGAAUGCCAUUUGUUCAUUAUAAUGCUACUGGGUAUAGAAGAACCUAGAAGCAUCAGACCUGUGUCCUUGCUCAAAGCCUUGUUCCUUAUCUUCUGUCCUUUCUCCAUAGGUACUGAAUGAAUGCCUUGGAGCUUCACCUGAGGGACUGUUGAGGGUGUGAGUAAGGGCUAUCCCUACUGACGCUCAUAAUGAAAAGAACCGUACAUAAAUCGAGGCCCUAACUCGACGGCCCCGCUUACACUUGCAAUAAUCAAAGCUCGAUGUCGACCGUAGCCUCGAACAUAGAAAGGGGGUCGUGCGAAUCAAUGUAGGAUCGACUAAACAACAACCCUCGAAUACGGAAGCGGCUGGGGCGAAUCGAUAGGCCUCGAGUGCAAGGACACCGUCCGCUGCAUGUCUCAGGUAUGGGAGCCAGGGCAUUUAAUGCACCUGCCAUGUUCUCACCUAACCCGACAGUCACGGGAAACUUGAUAGGGAGCAAGCACCCGUCCAAUCCCACUUUUCGCAACUUUGUCCCCCAGAUGAGCAGGAGUACGGGCAAGCGCAGUGAGACAGUCGGGAUGUCACAUCACGACCCCCAUUGAAGCGCCCAAAGUCAGUGCACCGAUCACAAAGCCUUGUGCGGUGCCGGACCCUCGAGCGAAUACGUGCCUCCCCAGAGAAGAGUCAGGCGGUGAAAGACAGUGCCUCAACCACUCUAGACGCGACUACUGCCACGACGUACAGGCGUGCCCACGGCUAAGCCAAUCCAAGGCGGCGCACAGGAGCCGAAUUCAGAAGCAUGCACAAUCAUCACCAAAGUACCGAAUAACAAGACAGCUCGAGGCCACGCUGGUACGGAAGCCUCGAGUAGGUCAGCGCACAACGCCCCAAUAGAGCCUUAUUUUAUUACCUACGACAUGUAACAUAGGUCUCCCCUUGAAACUAUAAAAGUGGAGGCUGAGGAAGGAAUAGGCAGAACACCACACGUAGAACAACCACCCAUACAUCACCAUUCUCAGCAACGCUCGCCUGUAUUCACCCCUGUACAAGCACUUAGGUGCAAGAUAAUAGAAAACAUCCCCCGCCCCCCGCUGGACGUAGGGCCUUCUCUUGCCCGGACUAGGAUAAAUCUCUGUGUCUUUCUUGCAUCACCAUCUGGGAGUGGGAACACGCAUACAAGUUUACUCAUUUGUGUGACCCCCCGGGGAAAAACACUGACAGUUGGCGCGCCAGGUAGGGGUCAUGCAUGUUUUUUACCGACUUCCCAUCUCCUUCCAGAUGGCCACUCUCGCUACACCGAUCCCACGCUCCACGGUGAUUUAGUUCGGGAGCCUCGAGUUCAUGUCCACCGGUUUUGGCUACGACAUGAUCCUGCUCUCGUUCAAAUGACCGGGAGGAGCCCGCAUUGCGCCCGCACGAUCGAAGGCCCCAAGACGGCAUCGCCACCAUGCCUCCCCGCUCAAGAACAGGCGUGGACAGCAUCGCCACCGCCCCUCUGCCACUUCACGAUCGUCGACUCAUGUCAGGCGAGCGGUGGCGCAAGAGUCAACAACCCCGCGCGCCGGAUAAGACGGCCCGGCGUUACGAUGACCGCACGACGACAUUGGGCGAUAGCGCACCUCGUGCGCUCUCACCCUCGACGAUGUUGCUCCCACACAGGCUGUUCACUUCAAGGAAAGCGCACCCAUUCGGUCUAGACAACGCCGCGACGUCGCUUGCCAGGGAGAUAUGCUCAAACGCCAAGACUCACGUGGAGUGACCACAGGUGCUCCCACGUGACGCUGGGACGCAGCAACAAGCCCAAGAGACGGCCGAGCUACCGGAUUUUUCCCGGGUACGAAGCCUCUAACGCCUAGGACCAGGGCGAUACACCAUCACCUCGCUCAGACAGCGGCUGGCGGAGGAAGGGCGCGGAUGUUUCUAUGCCACAGAACCAGAUCCUGACUCCAAAUCCGAUAGCUACGACCCUACGAGGGAGUGCUUCAACGUCAGCGGGGAAGUGGCAACCACCGACGGCACGCAAGAUGCCGUUGCCGGUGGCCGAGCCCCCGUAGCAAGAGAAGACCCCAGGAUGCCUGGGAACGACGGACAGGUCAACCCUCCAGCACAGGACGACAGAGUGGCACAACUCGCACAAUUACGGGAACUUAAGGCCAAGAUCGACGAGAACCGAGAACGACUCGCCCAUGUUGAGUGAGCCCUCGAGCAGGACCAACCAAACCCGCACGGUGGAGGCACGCGUGGUCGUGCUCGAGAUGUGUACCGACAGAUCGUCGGGGACACUGAGCCAGAGCCACCCAUUAGCCGUUUCCCUUGGACAGGCCAGAAUAUUGUAGCAGCAACCAUGCUGCUGCGCAACAUGCCCGAGCCUUCAAAUACUCAGGCGCAGCACAUUCGAGACGAGGUACAAUCUCCGCUCCACAUAGCAGCCGCCCAGCAAGCUGAGAGCUCGGCCUCUCGACGACGAGGGGUAGCCACGGAAAAAUGCACCAAACCAGCUUGCAUCAAGAGGGAUGUGUCUGUCAACCAAGGACCGCCCCCACGAGAUAGGAAAACGGCGCCCGUCCAGAAGCGCCUCGUUGACAACCGAGGGUAGCACGACGCCCGGUAUGACAUCAAUGAGCACCGCCGCCACCGACAUAGGGAUGCAGAGGAGCGCAGAUACAGCACCCACCGUGGCAGACGAUACGACAGUGACGAAGACCGAAUGGCCCCAGAACCACCGGGCCCUCGAGUCUUCAGCCGAGCAAUCCGCAGCACGCCGCUGCCAAACCCAUUUUGACCCCCAACCAGCAUUGCCAAAUAUGACGGCGAAACCAAGCUAGAACUGUGGCUGGCGGAUUUCUGGUUAGCAUGCCAGUUGGGAGGCGCUCGAGGGGACGAUUGGGCCAUCAUCCGCCAGUUGCCGCUCUUCCUCUCCGACAUCGCCCGCAGGUGGCUCGAAGAACUCCCCGCCAACCAGAUUCAUGACUGGACCGACUUGGUAUGGGUGUUCGAGGGCAACUUCAAAGGGACCUACAUACGACCCAGCAACUCAUGGGACCUCAGCAUGUGCAAGCAGAAAUCAGGAGAAACUCUCCAAGAGUACGCUCAACGCUUCUUGAAGCAGCGUACUGAGCUCCCGCACAUCCCCGACCACGACGUCAUUCUGGCGUUUGUCUCAGGCACCGCAUGCAGGGACCUGGUACGGGAGCUGGGUCGAAAUCGGCCCCAGACCGUCGACGAACUGAUGGAUAUGGUGGCGAACUACGCUGCGGGCGAGGAAGCGGUCGGUGCUUUCUUUAGCAACGAAGGAAGCAAAGGGAAGGCACCGGUAGACGACGACGAGGGCCCUAGCCGAGGGUCUAAGAAGAACAACAAGAAGAAUAAAGCGCGACCAUUCAAGCGGGAGGUUCUCGAGGACGAUUUCGUCGACGCCGCAGAACGCAAAAAGCCUCGAGGGCCCCUAGAGGGGGCCGUCUUCGACAAGAUGCUAAACGAACCCUACCCUUAUCACAAGGGAGGAGCAAACCACAAGCUCGAAGCCUAUUGCAUGCUAAAAAAGUACUUCGACAGCCUAGGGCUGAAGAAGGAUGACCAAAGGAAAGACAAGAGCGACGAAAAAUGGGAAAACAAGGAAGACGAAGGCUUCCCCACCGUCCAUGAUUGCUACAUGAUCUAUGGUGGACCCUCGACGCAGCUCACCGUGAGGCAGCGCAAGAGGGAGCACCACGAGGUCUUUGCGGCAAGGAUGGCGGUGCCCUAGUACCUCAACUGGUCGAGCACCCCAUCACCUUCAACCGAGACGACCAUCCUGACAGGGUGGUCGCUCCCAGCGUCUACCCACUUGUGAUCGAUCCCAUCGUCGUCAACACCAGGCUCCCGAAGGUAGUGAUGGAUGGCGGCAGCAGCCUGAACAUCAUUUACCUCGAGACCCUCGACCUCCUCAGCAACGAAAGGGCGCAGCUCCAGCUAAGCGCGAGCGGUUUCCAUGGCGUCGUGCCAGGAAAAAAGGCAUUGCCGGUGGGUCGAAUCGGCCUGCUGGUCUGUUUCGGCACGGUGGCCAACUUCAGGAAGGAAACUCUCACCUUUGAAGUGGUGGGAUUUCGCAGCACGUACCACACCAUCAUCAAACGUCCAGGCUACGCCAAUUUCAUGGUUGUCCCCAAUUACACCUACCUGAAGUUGAAGAUGCCCUGGCCCAAGGGAGUCAUCACCGUUAGCUCAUCCUACGAGCACGCAUACGAGUGCGACGUCGAAUGCGCCGAGUAUGGAGAAGUUGUUGAGAAGUCCACCGAAAUCGCCUUGAAGCUCGAAGCCCUUGCCGCUGAGGCCCUAGAGCCCAAACAACACGCGUGCAGCUUCGAACCAGCGGAAGGCACUAAGAAGAUUCCACUCGACCCCAACAGCUCCAACGACAAGGCGCUGACCACGACCCCAAAUAGGAAGCCGUGCUCGUCGACUUUCUCCGUGCAAACACCGAUAUGUUUGCAUGGAGUCCUUCGGACAUGCCUGGUAUACCGAGGGAAGUCGCUGAGCACUCCUUGGAUAUUCGAGCAGGCUCCAAGCCAGUGAAGCAACGAUUGCGUCGCUUCAACGAGGAGAAACGCAAGAUCAUUGGCGAGGAGCUCCAUAAGCUUCUGACGGCUGGAUUCAUCAAGGAGGUUCACCAUCCCGAUUGGUUAGCAAAUCCUAUAUUAGUUAAGAAAAAGAAUUGGAAAAUGAGGAUGUGUGUCGAUUACACGAGUUUGAAUAAAGCAGGUCCAAAAGUUCCCUUUCCUUUACCACGCAUCGACCAAAUUGUUGAUUCUACCGCGGGAUGUGAAACCCUUUCGUUCCUUGAUGCAUAUUCUGGCUACCAUCAAAUAAAGAUGAAAGAGUCCGACCAGCUCGCGACAUCUUUCAUCACGCCUUUUGAGAUGUAUUGUUAUGUGACCAUGCCCUUCGGGCUUCGAAACGCUGGGGCGACAUACCAACGAUGCAUGCUCCACGUGUUCGGCGAACACAUAGGGUCAACGGUCGAGGCAUACAUCGACGACAUCGUCAUCAAAUCGAAAAAGUGAGAUGACCUGAUUCAGGACCUCAAAAUCGCCUUUAGCUGUUUACGCGCUAAUAGAAUCAAGCUCAACCCCGAGAAGUGCGUCUUCGGCGUACCUCGAGGCACACUCCUGGGUUACAUAGUCUCCCAACACGGCAUCGAGGCUAAUCCUGAGAAAGUCUCGGCAGUUGCAAGGAUGGGGCCAAUUCGAGACGUCAAGGGCGUGCAAAAAGUCACGGGUUGCCUGGCGGCACUGAGCCGUUUCAUUUGAAGAUUAGGAGAAAAGGCGUUGCCACUAUAUCGGCUCUUGAAAAAGGCAGAUCAUUUCUCUUGGACCCGUGAGGCCGAGAAAGUCCUCGACAACCUGAAAAAGACGCUGACCACCGCCCCGGUCCUAGUCCCCCCUUAGCCUGCAGAGCUCCUGCUCCUAUACGUCGCAGCAACGACGCAGGUGGUUAGCGCGGCUUUGGUGGUCGAAAGGCCGGAGGAAGGACACUCUCUGCCAGUCCAGCGGCCGGUCUACUUCAUCAGUGAGGUGCUCUCGGAAACCAAGGUACGGUACCCCCAGAUUCAGAAGUUGAUAUAUGUUGUAAUUCUUGCCCGACGCAAGCUGCAGCACUACUUCCUCGGCCACCCGAUCACGGUGGUCUCGUCCUUCCCCUUGGGCGAGAUCAUCCAGAAUCGAGAGGCCACUGGGAGGAUCGCCAAAUGGUCGGUCGAGCUCAUGGGUGAGACCCUCACUUAUGCGCCCCGCAAAGCCAUCAAGUCUCAAGCCCUGGCGGAUUUUGUCGCGGAAUGGAUAGACACUCAGCUCCCCCCGGCUCAGGUUCAAGCAGAGCUAUGGAUGAUGUACUUUGACGGGUCCCUCAUGAAGACAGGAGCUGGGGCAGGCCUACUACUCAUAUCACCCCUUGGCGUCCACAUGAGGUAUGUCAUUAGAAUACACUUCGCCGUGUCCAACAAUGUUGCAGAAUACGAGGCCCUCGUCAACGUGUUAAGGAUCACCGUUGAGCUAGGGGUUCACCGCCUUGAUGUUCGAGGCAACUCUCAGCUAGUCAUCGACCAAGUAAUGAAGGCCUCGAGCUGGCACGACCCGAAAAUGGAGGCAUACUGCAAGGAAGUACGUAGGAUCGAGGACAAAUUCCACGGCCUCGAGCUCGUUCACAUUGCACGAUGAUAUAACGAAGCAGCCGACAAGCUCGCCAAGAUCGCAUCAACUCGAGGCACCGUACCACCCGACGUGCUCUCAAGAGACCUGUAUGAGCCAUCCAUCAACCUGGGCGCGGGGGCUGACAUCGAAACCCCCACUCCAACCGACGCUAUCAAAGCCUUACUAACGGCAGCAGAAGUAAUGGAGGUCGAACAGCGUCCCGGUCGACCGUUCGACUGGCUUACGCUGUUCCUCGAUUGCCUGAUCCAGUGUGAACUACCGGAAGAUCGUUCCGAGGCCCGUCGUAUCGCUCAGCGGGAAAUCGUACGUAACCUACGGUGAAAACGAAGAGCUAUAUCGACGAAGCCCGACAGGGAUCUUGCAGCGCUGCAUCACCAUAGAAGAAGGUGGAAAGCUCCUCGAGGACCUGCACUCGGGGGCUUACGGCCACCAUGCUGCUCCAAAAACCCUUGUAGGGAAUGCCUUCUGACAAGGUUUCUACUGGCCAACGGCCGUAGCUGACGCUAUAGAACUCGUUCGUUCGUGCCAUGGGUGUCAAUUCUAUGCCAAGCAAACCCAUCUCCCUGCUCAUGCUCUCUAGAUAAUCCCCAUCACAAGGCCAUUUGUGGUGUGGGGUCUUGACCUCGUAGGCUCCCUACAGAAAGCAGCGGGAGGAUACACCCAUUUGCUGGUAGCCAUCGACAAAUUCUCCAAAUGGAUCAAGGCCCGACGCAUCACAAACAUCCACUCCGAGCAGGCCGUCCUUUUCUUCACCGACAUUAUCCACCGGUUCAGGAUACCCAACAUCAUUAUCACCGACAACGGCACACAGUUCACCGGCAAAAAGUUCUUGGACUUUCGCGAUCAGCAUCACAUCCGUGUGAACUGGUCCGUGGUAGCUCACCCUCAAUCUAACGGCCAGGUCGAGCAUGCCAACAGCAUGAUUUUGCAAGGUCCUAAACCAAGAAUCUACAACCGGUUGAUGAAAUUCGGCAAGAAUGGGUCGAAGAACUCUCCUCAGUCCUAUGGAGCUUAAGGACGAUGUCAGGCAGAGCCACAAAAUAUACCCCGUUCAUCAUGGUCUAUGGCUCCGAGGCUGUGUUUCCAACAGACCUUGAGUAUGGGUCACCUCGACUUAAGGCCUACAACGUGAAGACAAAUAAGGAGACCUGAGAAAAUGUGGUCGGCCAGCUUGAGGAAGCUCGAGACAUGGCCCUCCUCAACUUUGCAAGAUACCAGCAGAAGCUCCGAUGCUAUCACGACAAGCAUGUGCGCAAAAGGGAUCUGAAUGUGGGCGACCUCGUCCUACGUC